rnacentral:lncRNA from 1 species
UACGGGGGAAACCUCCACUGGACCCAAUCUGGAACCGCAAGUAAACCCUAAUGUGCAAAUAGCUGCUGCUAUGCAGCAAAUGACAGACCUGCUAGCACAAGUAGUGCAGCAACAAGCCCGGAACCCAAACAUUAACCCUGGAAACCCCGGAAACCCUGGCCAUCAUAUCGAGAGCGAAGAUAGAGCUCUCGAACGUUUUCAAAAGUUUGCUCCGCCAAAGUUUGUUGGGGGACCUGACCCAGACGUUGCCGAAAGAUGGCUUGAAAAGAUGGUGGAUAUAUUUGCAGCCCUACACUACCCUGACGAACGGCAGGUGACUUUUGCCGUGUUCCAGCUUGAGGGGGCAGCCCGUUCCUAGUGGAACGUAAUUCGGCAGAAGUGGGAACGAGAACAGACACCUAGGACUUGGGUGAACUUCAUCAGAGAGUUCAAUGCGAAGUUUUUCCCUCCUCUAGUUCAGGAGAGGAAGGAAGACGAGUUCAUUCGACUCCGCCAAGGAGCUCAAACUGUGGCGGAAUAUGAGAGCCAAUUCACCCGCCUAUCCAAAUUUGCGCCCGAACUCAUCAUGACCGAGCAGCGGCGAAUAAGGCGUUUUAUCCAGGGCUUGAACGUAGAAAUUCAAAAAGAUCUGGCGGUAGCCCAACUUAAUGCCUUUAGUGAUGCGGUGGAAAAAGCUCAGCGCGUUGAAACUGCAGGGUUACAAGUUAGAAACUUCCAAGCAAGAAAAAGGGGUUUUCCGGGGAGCAGCUCAGAACAAGCGGAUAAUAGUACAAUCUCUAAAGUUCGCAAGGGAAACGGGGAAAUACGGCAACCAGGGAUGUCGCGUGAUGUCCCUCAGGGAGGACUGGUCUCUGCUACUCGUGGUCCCUGUGGAUAUUGCGGAGGGCCAAGUCAUACGGAAACAAAUUGCUGGAAGAAAGAAGGAAAAUGCUUGCGCUGUGGAAGCGCUGAACAUCGGAUUGCUAACUGUCCAGCUCGCCUGCGCGAGCGGAGAGGGACUCUGCCACCAACCAAGCCCAAUUCUCAGCAACCCGCCAAGAGCAACCCUGGACAGACGAAAGGAGAAGGGACGGGAUCGAAGGCACCAGCUCGAGUAUAUUCUCUAGAGCAGCAUCAGGUCCCUGACUCGUCUGAGGAUGGAGAAGGUAUGGUCCGUUGGGUACUUUAGAUUUGAUAGAUUCCGUUGAUAAGAAAAUUUCGAGGGCGAAAUUUCUUUAAGGGGGAGAGAGUCUGAGAACCCGUAACUUUUCCAUUUGUUAGGUUUUAUUAUUUUUCUAGGCUUUCUUAUUUUCUAUGGCUUGUUUUCUGCACUUUCUGUAUCCGGAAAAUUUUAUAGAUAAUUUUUGUGAGUAAAUAUAGUUUUUAGAUGAUUUUUCUAGUAUCGAAUAGAUUUUGAGAAAUUAAGAACGUAUACCGGACGUGGGACCCACUAGUGCGAAAAGUUCGGAAAAAUUCGGCCAACUAGGUUAAGUUUUGGAUACUGGAUUAAAUUUAUCGGGUGCUAAGAGAUAAGUAGAGGUUGUAAUUUGGAUUGAUGUGAGAGGAAACAAAGUGAUAGACUUGCAUUAAAUGAGGUGACAAGUGUCACCAUUUAAGUGGUUGAACCUUAAGACUUUCUUACCAUUGACUUAAAUAACCAAAAAUGACCCAAAAAUCUUCAAAAAAUCCUCAAGAACAGCCGGCUCUCUCUCUCUCUCUUUCUCUCUUUCUUACUCCAAGUACAAGGAAGAAAACACUUCAAUCUUGCUCCAAAUCAGCAAAACCAACCAUCCAACCUUGAUUUUUCUCCAUAAAACACCUUCAAGUAGUGGUUGUGAGUUGUUGUGUGAAUUUUUGUGGAAAGUAAGGUGACCAAUAGCUCUCUCUCUCUUGUUCUUAAGGUAAGUGGUGAAGAACCACCCUCCUCCUUUAAUUGAUGCUUAAAUCAUGCUUAGUGGUAGCAUAAGAUGCAAAUUUAUGGAUUAAUUCUUGAUUUGUGGUUGAGUUGAUGAAGUUUUAUAUUUUUUGGGGAUUUUUCUGUUUUCAUAUGAAUAUGAUUAUGUGGUCAUGUAUGAUGGUUGAAAAUGAUGUAUAAUGACUAUAGGAGGUGGGAAAGGUGAACAAUUGCAAUCAAUUUCUGGUUUGGAAGAAUUUCAGCAAGUUAGGGUUUUUGGUUGGAACAUUCUGCCCGUUUUUUUUCCUCCUAGAUAGAGGCUGAAUUGGCCUUGGCCUAAAACAUGAAAGUUGUAGGUAUUGAUGUGUUUGAGGUGUCUGUAAAAUUUCAGGUUAUUUGGAUUAGUGUAGAGUGAGAUAUGGCAUUUUUACUGUUGCUGUUCUGGGUUGAUCAGAAUGCGAAAACUGCACUAGUAAUUGGCCAUUUUGACUGGAAUUGGUUUGGAUUUUGUUGUUGGUGUCUUCUGAUGAAAUGUAGCUGAAUGUCUUAGCUACCAUAUGCCUUUGGAAUUAAUGCAUUUGGACCUGUAUAGACCGAGUUGUACUAAUUACAGUUUUGUGUGAUUUGUAAACCUGCAAUUACGGUUCAGGUUGUGGUAUUCUGCAUUUUCGACCUAGUUGUGCUAAGAUUUGGACUGAGUAGCCUUAUACAUUGUUGUAUCCCUAUUUCAUAGCUUCGAAACGGUGGGUCUUGCACCCCCAUCCGAUAACCGUAGUGAAAGUGGUGUCAUUACCGCAUUAUGAGGUCAAAUACGUUUUUUUUGUUGUUAAGGCCUACGUUAAAGCCUUUUCUUAAUUUCUGGUUACCUAUGAUGCUUAUUUAUGCAUAUGAAACCAUAUUAGGGUUAUAAUUGGUAUGGCUAUAUGACUCGUUAUCGAGUCUCUUUUAGGGCUUGCUUUCAUUUCGGUUGUUUCCUAGCUAACUUUUGUACUUGUACCACUUUGAGCCUAGCGAACGGCUUUUGGGAAAUGAGAUGAAUUUUGUGUGAGAUGUUGGGACUGAUUUGAGGAUAUAAUGAAGCCUUAAUGGCUGGAAAAGUAAGAAAUUUAGGGGAAGUGCUGCCCGAUUUUCUAGGCCGUUUGGUUCUUUAAGUUGGAUUUGCCUUUUGGUAGAAUGAAAGGCUUUUUGGUUGUUUGCGCCUAGGUCUUCAUGCUACCUUUUCGUUUCCAAGGGAAUCAUGUUUUUGCCUUCUUGCAUUAGUAUUUAUUUGGCAAGGCGUACGACGUGUAGUCGAGCCUCACAUGUGCAUUCUGUUUACUCGAUUCUGGAAGUAAAACCUUCAAUUGGUUUAUUUUGAUUAUUUUUAGGGUUUCUUGGCGAUUAAGGCCAAUCUGAAGUGAAAACUUUUGAAGUUGAGCCGGUGAGUGUUCCACUACCUGCUACCCAUUAUGUGAAAUAUCUGAAUAUCUGAAUACUUGAUUUAUGACUAUUGAAGCCAAAUACUGUUUUGAUAAAAUGGAGGCGAGGGUGUACUUUAUCACACUCGUUCUUCUAUCUGUUCAUAUGCCAAUUUUGAGUGCCUAUCUGAAUCUGCCGUCUGAAUCUGCUAUCUGAAUCUGCUAUCCUGUAUCUGUAUCUGAAUCUGUUAUCUGUGUCUGCAUCUGUUCGGAUUUCUAUGACCUAUGAGCUCAAUCCUGUGGUUAAGUUAUUCGACUCGGGCCGGCAAGGGCCUGGACGAUUAGAUAACGAACCACGGUAGUCUGUUCGGAGAUUUUGGGUAUUGAGACCCUUGAUUCCGGGUAUACUCGAGUAUUACCAUUUCUGUUCGGUUACGGUGAGCGGGCCCGGUAAAGGGGUGUUUGGUGGACGGAAUUCGGAGUAAAGAGAGGUCUACGGACGCAUUGGUUCUAUAUACGUUGACGGAGAGUCAACCGGUUUGGAUCAAGUACUGCGCUGGAAAUUUGGCUCCUGAGAGCCACCCGUAUCCUUCUGAUUUGAAUCAUUGGUUUCUGUGCUUUACAUCUGACAUGUGUAUCUGAUUUGUUAAAUGUGAAAUGCCAUGAUUUUAAUGCUAUUUGUUUGGUACCUCAUUGAGCGCAAGGUCACCCCUUUCCGUUCCUUUUGUUUUCCUUACAGGAAAAUAAACCCUUUUGGUCUGGAUUUGACCAAUGGCUGCCAAAUUGAGCUAGAUGAACAUAUCUUUUGUAUAGCUCAUGUAUCAAAACCCUAAGUGUACUUUUGGGGCGUUUUCUCUUUUGAUUUGGCAAACCGUGUAUAUGUAUUAACUUUUGAAAGCUUUUGUAUGUUUUGAUUUGUAAACGCUAAAGUUCAGAUGUGAAUGUUUGUUAGCUAUUUCGGUUGGGUUCUGACGGGUCGGUUACUAUUCAUGGCCGGCUCCGGAUUUCAUUUUUUUUAUUUUGGGUUAUUUUACCAUUUUGACUUGUUUACGCGCGUUUGUAAGUUCCGGAGUGAAGCAGAUAGCUCUAAUCUGAUCCGUAGUCCUGGCGAAAGUUGGGCAGGCAGUCCGCUAACCCCUUUGGUUCGCCUUAGGGGAAAGUGGGGCUGUUACAGCGUGAAGGUGAGCAAAUCCUUUGCUCAGGUUUGUUGCUUCAGGUUACAGCUUCCUCGGUUUUCCUCCCGUCUUCUUCCGAGUCUCAAGUUCUGGUUUUUCUUUCGUUUCCCUCAAACUCGCGGGUCUCCCGUUCCUUCCAGCUUUUCCAGUCUUUCUCUCCUCACCUCCCAGAUUCUAACCGUCACCCUAGCUCUCUUUUCCUCAGCUUUUACCUCUCUCAAAGCUCUAACCUUUUGCGCAGCCCCCCUGUUUUCUCUUCCGGACUCAGCCGUCACUCCCUUUGUUUCUUUUCUGGUUUCCUCUCCAGCCCACUCACCAAACCCCAGCCGUUAAAAGCCUUCAGAUUUUUCUCACUCAGCCGUUAUCUUCCCAAAAAACCCUCUCUCUCGCUCUCCUUGAAGUUUCCUUCCAUCUCUCUGUAGCUUUUUCUGGUUUUCUACCGCUCUCUCGCUUCUCAGUUUUUCCUUAGCCGUCAACUCAAAAAACCUUCCCCUGCGGCUGAUGCUCUCUUUUCUAUUUAUAUCGGACUCCUCAACCCUAAAACCCAGUCCUUUCUUCUGUAAUUUGCAGCCAAGGGACUGCCCAGCCUUUCCUUGCAAGCUGCGACAAAACGCAGCUUGCAUGCCGCAAAACCUCUUUUUUUUUCUUUUUUUUUCCAACUUAAUAAUUUAACAAAAAUAAAAGUAAAACUAAAUAAUAAAAACAACAAUUUUAAUUACAAAUACAUCAAAAUAAACAAACUAAAACAACAAAAUUACCAUUUUCAAUUUUUUUCUUUCAUUUUUCAUUUUUCAUCAUUUUUCACUUUUUUUCUUUUUUUUUCAAGAAAGCAUUGAAUUUAGAUUACAAACGACUAAAUCAUAUUUUUUUUGAAUGCUUUUUCUUUUCUUUUUUUCCCCGUUUUUUCAACAAAUUCUAUGAUAAAAACUUAAAAAAUAAAAAUAAAACUAGAAACUAAAAACUAAAAAAUCGAAUAAAACUAACACGACAAAUAAAAAACUAAAAAUAAACAGUAAAUGAAAUUACACCAAAAAUUUGGUGUCUACAGUUUGCCCCUCUUUGUCUGAGUUUUGGAAAAACUUGAGACAAAGAAGUAGACACCAAAUAUUUAUCUGCAUUAUUCGGCUGCAAAGUGAUUCCAACAAACAAGAAUUCUAGAACGGGACUGACCCGAACAGAAAACGGGACUGGCCCGAACAGAAAAUUAAAACGGGACUGACCCGAACAGAAAUUUAAAGGGGACUGACCCGAACAGAAAUUUAAAUGGGAUAGACCCAGACAGAAAUGCAAAUGGGAUAGACCCGGACAAAAAAUGUAAAUGGGAUAGACCCACGGGAUAGACCCGGACAGAAAUUUAAAUGGAAUAGACCUAGACAGAAAUUUAAAUGGGAUAGACCCAGACAAGAAACUUAAAACGGCACUGACCCGAACAGAAAUUUAAAACGGGACUGACCCGAGCAGGAAUUUAAACGGGACUGACCCGAACAGAAAUUUAAACGGGACUGACCCGAAUAGAAAUGAAAAUCAUGGGACUGGCCCGAAAUAAAUGAAAAAUCAUGGGACUGACCCGAAUAAAACGAAAAUCAUGGGACAGACCCGAAUAAAAUGAAAAUCAUGGGACUAACCCGAACAAGCUUUUAAUCAUGGGACUGACCCGAAUAAGCUUUAAAUCAUGGGACUGACCCGAAUAAAACGAAAAUCAUGGGACUGUCCCGAAUAAAAUGAAAAUCAUGGGACUGACCCGAAUAAAACGAAAAUCAUGGGACUGACCCGAAUAAGCUUUAAAUCAUGGGACUGACCCGAAUAAGUUUUAAAUCAUGGGACUGACCCGAAUAAAACGAAAAUCAUGGGACUGACCCGAAUAAAAUGAAAAUCAUGGGCCGCACGCUAGUGGGACUGACCCACGGCUAGCGGCGAUGAAAAUGAAAUGCACACUGGCGGGACUGAUCCACGCUCCAGUGGCUGUGAAAAUGAAAUGCUCACUGGCGGGACUAACCUCACGCUCCAGUGGCUGUGAAAUGAAAUGUCUUGCCAGUCGGACAGUGGGAUCAAACCCGAACCUGCCGUGAUGAACUUGAUUUGAUUUUUGAUUUUUGAUUUUUUGAUUUGAUUUGAUUUUUUGAUUUUUGAUUGAUUUUUUGAUUUUUUAUUUUUGAUAUAUAUAUAUAUUUUUUUCCAAAGAUAAUUUGCCCCAGUAUGAUGAAUUGGUCAGUGCAUCUGCUCCUAUAGUUGAUUCCUCAUUGCCAUGUUGUUGCGCCUUUUGAGCAAAUUUGCUCGUGACAUUUCCGAUCCAUCUUUGUUCACUGGAGACUCUUUUCCGAUACUUGCCCCAGUGCGAAGUGUGAUCGCUUUCAUUUGUGCAUGCAAUUUUUCUGCAAGAGAGAAAAAACAAAGAAAUUGCCACCAUCAUUUGAUCCGUUUUCCUUUGAGAAUCGUGUAAACAUGAGUUUUUCUCCUUUUCCUUCCUUUUUCGCCAACUUCUGCUGCGGCAUCCGAUUAAGUUGGAUUUCUUGCUCCAAAACUUUUCCGAUUUCUCAAACUGACCAGGUAUGUGUUUUGUCAUACUGUGAAGGCUGCGUGGCUGGCUUUGCUGAAUCUCAACCGUUUCCGAAAGACGACUGAAUCCAAGCAUUUUUUUGAAAUAAACCCCGGGGAUUGUUAUUUACCAAAAUUCAAGAAGUUAAAAUAAAAUGAGGUAUGCAAUAAAAAUUCACAUGCUAUGAAGGAAUGAAUAUGCACAAGAAUGCAAAAUAUAAUCAUCUGUGCCUACAAAAUGCCAUAAAUGCAGGCACUUUGGAAAAAAAUGAGCUUGCUAAAAAUGUACUUGCGAAAGAAUAUUUAUUUUACAAAAUGACACAAUUUUCGGCCAACAGAUGUCAUGUUUGACACCCUGGAUAUCUUUGUUCUGGAACUCAACACUGGCAGAAGUAUUCUAAAUGAAGAGAGAUCCAAAUGAACCAAGUCACCAGCUAUUCCUCCUCGUGCUUACAAAACUCACCGUGGCGCCCUUCUGGGUUUUCACCAAGGUUGCCCCCACCCUUGUUUUUUUUGUUUUUUUUUUUGAGGUACCCUUUCGGGUUUUCACCUAAGGAACAAUGAAGAAGCUCGUCCACGAUCGACUCAGGAGUGUGAGUUGAAGAUUUCUGGCAUCAGUAAAACGUGCUUCCCUUAUAAGUUUAAGUGAAGGCAUUAUAGACAUCACUUGCCAGUUGAUUAGCAAAAUCCCUAAUAGAAAUACAGCAAGUGACGAAAGCCAGGACUUUUGGAUUUUUGUAAUGAGGUCAGGUGGGGUGUUUUCAAGAAAAGUUGAGGCUUGAAAGCAAAUUUGAUGAAAGGUGUGAAAUAACCUGAGAUUGCAUCAUUUCGAAAUUAUCUCCAAUUUUGAACGAAACCGAGGAAAUUUGCCCCAGUUUGAUUGGAUAUUUCUUUCUUUCUAUUUUCUUCAUUGCAUUCUUCUCACUUUUUGCAUUUUUCUUUCAAAAACUAAAUUUGCCCCAGCGGGGUUCUCUUUUCUUUUCAUCUUUCUUUCAACAUAAAUUUGCCCCAGUGUGGGGUUUGCCUUUUCUUUCUGAUCAUCUUUUUUUUCAAAAUGAAUUUGCCCCAGUGUAGGGUUUGCAAUCCUCAGGGGCUGCCAAACGAAAAUUAUUGUUCUGAUAGCUCAAAGGGGAUGACUAGAGAUGAAAUGUUUUGAUUGGAAAGGAAAAUGGCCUGACUUUUGCCUCCCCCCUUGCAUGAUUUCCGAAAGAAAUUUGCAUAAUCAAACAUAAAAACUUCUUACACAUGUCUGAGUUGAUAGGUUGAGGGAAUGUUUGUCCAUCCAUGAAUGCCCCGCCAGGUAAUACCUUUUGAACAUCCAAUGAGCUUUGCCAAUUUGAAGCAAACUUGCCUUCGACUUCAUCUUUCAUUACUUUAGCACUUUGUUCCCUUCUUCAGAAGAUCGGUGGCGGCCCCUUUUAUUAUGAACACAGGCCAUGAAUUUUGACAAAAUUGGUCAUGGUACAUAGCAUUCAACUGCUUUUCAUCAAUCAGAAUCAAUCGUUGAUGACACUGCUUUAACCAAUCAACUUUCAGUCUGGCCGGAAAGGGAUUUUCUCAAAUGAAGGGAUUUCUCAAAUGAAGGGAUUUUUCAAUGAAUGGAUUUUUCAAUGGUUUUCUCAAUGAAGCUUUCUCAAUGAAGGGUUUUCUUAUUGAAGGCUUUCUCAAAGAAGGAAUUUCUCAAUGAAGGCUUUCUUUCAAAGAAGAGAUUUCUCAAUGAAGGGAUUUUCUCAAAUGAAGGGACUUUCCAAUGUAUGGCUUCCUCAAAGAAAGGAUUUCUCAACGAGGGGAUUUUUAAUGAAGGGUUUUCUCAAUGAAGGCUUUCUCGAAGAAGAGAUUUCUCAAUGAAGGGACUUUUCAAUGUAUGGCUUCAUCGGAUUCCAGAACAAUGAUAUUCAAAGGGUCAAGUAAUUUCAUCUUUGGCCAUCUUAAAGAAUUAAAAAAAAAUUCAGGAUAAUAAUCAAAUAAACAAAUAAAACAAAUUAUGCAUUUCAUGAAACUCCAAACUAAAGACAAAACUCAAUUGCAAAAGACGCUUUCAUUAAGCUAUUCACAUAUGCAAGAAAAGUUUUCGUGAACUUUAGUAAAUAACAACCCUUAGAUUUACUGAAACUCCCUUUGAGAGAGAAGAUAUUCGGCCAUCCAAAUUGUGCAAAGACCCUUCAGGAUUUUCAAAUUUCGUCAUUGGAAGUAGAUGCCUCAAAGGUGUCCUUGUGUUUGGGAAAGGGGUUUGUAUUUACACUGGGUCCUUGUUCACCCUUUCCCCUUAACACUAUUUCCCCUGCCUCAAUCAUGUCUUGGACUUUGUGCUUGAGGGCUUUACAAUUGACGGUUGAGUGGCCAGGUGCCCCCGAGUGAUAGGCACAAAUAGACUGUGAAUCGUAUCCAGCAGGCAUGCCAUAAGGAUAUGAUGGAGGGGGAAUCACGCCUAUUUUGCCAGCAGCCUUUAAUUGUUCAUACAAUUGGUCCAGAGGCCUGCCUAGGUUGGUGAAUGUUCGGGUACGGCUUUGAUUGUAGGUUUCAGUAGGUUGGGAGUAGUUAUACGUGGGUCUAUUUGGUGGAGGGAAUUGUUGAUUGUAGAGAGGUCGGGGUCGAACUUGUUGGAAGUUUGGUUGAGAUAUUUGAAAAGAGGCUAUAGGCGAGUUGUUGUAGUUAGGGUGAGGUCGAGGAUGAGUGGUAUUGGUGUGAUAAACAGGAUGAUGGUUUGAAUAGUAAGGGUAAGGGUUGGAGUAGGUAGGGUAUUGUCGAAAUUUGGGCUUUGGGAUAGGGUUUCGAUCCCAGGCAAAAGCGAUUUCCCCCUCUUUCUUUUGGAAUUGUUGCUUCUUCCCAUUACCACCUUGGCUUUGCAAAGCAUCCAACUGCGAUUUGAGGGCAGACUCAUUAACAAUCUUUCCAGCCUUCACGAAAUCAUCAAAUUCCUCAAGUUUAUUAACAAUUGCAGCAAAUGAGCAUCCAGUCAUGCGAAAAAUUUCUUCAAAGUACGGCGGAUCAUGUGCCUUAAUGAAAGUGCGUAUGAUUUCGUCCUCCGUCAUUGGUGGCUCGACUUUUGCAGCUAUUUUCCUCCACCUCUUGGCAUAAGUCUUGUGAUCUUCAGAUGGCUUCCUCUUUGUCCCUUCCAACGUGGUUCGUGUUGGAGCCAGCUCGCAAUUAUACUCGUACUGCUUUACAAAAGCGUUGGGCAAGUCAAGCCAGGUCUUCGCUUCUUCGGGUUUCAGCUUGGAAUACCAGUCGAGUGCAUCCCCCUCCAGACUUUCUGGGAAUAGCUUCAAAGGCAGAUUUUCAUCAUCUGCUGGCCUACCCAACUUGUUGGCGAACAAUCGGAGGUGUGUCUUGGGAUUGCCUGUCCCAUCAUAUUUGUUAAACUUCGGAGUUUUGAACCCCUCAGGCAAUUGCACAUUUGGAAAGAGACAAAGCUCAUCAUAGUCCAAUACUCCUUGCUUGUUUAAACCCUGACUUUUCCUCAUAAAUUCAUCAAAACGGUCAAGGCGCUUGAGCAACUUCAUAUCAACAGGAGCAGAACAUUCUCCUAUCUCUGGCUUGUUUUGAAUGGUAUGGUCUGGCAAGAAAGGCUCAGCAGUAGCAUGAUAAAAAGUGUGUGGCUCAGGGGGUAUAUUUGAGGUGAUGUGAGGUUGUGGGCCUUGCAUGUAAGUAGGGAAAAAUGAAGGAUCAGGAGGGUAAGUGUAUGGCAAAUGUAUGGUGGGAUAUGUGAAAGUUCCUUCGGGUGAAAUAGGAAAAGAUGGAGUAACGGUGACUUGAGUUGAAGGGAUGACAAACGGUUCUGGCUCAGCCUGCUUGACGGGUGUAGGUUCGGGUUGAACUCCGCUGCUGAUUAGCUCGUCAAUCAAUUUCCUUUGGGCCGCCAUCUCAGAUGCCAUUUCACCAAACUUAGUAAGCAUCUCGGUUAACUGAACCCCUAAACUUGUAGUCUCAGGUUGAGCAGUAGUAGUAGACCCAUCUGCUUGUUCCAGUUGUGAACUCAUGUUUACACGACUCCUCUGACCUUGACUACGGGAUCGUGUUAUGAUGGGGCUUCGACGAGAAGCUAUGUUUAAAUAUUACCUGAGAAUUUUUGAAAAAAUUGCCUUUAGAUUUAAACCUUGCUUAGUUAUUCCAAGAAAAUAAAGAAAAGGAAAAGAAAAAGACAAGAGUUAGUAAAUAUCCAAAAAAAAUCGGAUGCAUGUCCUAUGGGGGAGCCCUUUUGUGCCAAGGGUAGGCCUAGCAUGAAAAUACAAUCCUCUAGGGUAGGCACUAUACCAUACAUGAUGGAUCUGAUCAACUUAUUGAGUGAAAAAUAAAUUUGAAAAAAUUGGUCAAUUGGAGUGACGAAAGUCAUUUGUCAAAAUGAGGUCAACGUCCGAAUGGAUUGAUCACUUUUGAUCGAUACAAGAACUUGCAAAAAUGCACGGGUUUGACCUUGACGAACUUCCUAUAGAAGAGAUUGGAAUUCGUUUUGACAACUUUUCUCAGUGAAGCACAGGUCAAAAACUCCAACUGAUCAAAUGGCUGGAUGCAAUGGAUGUUUUUCUCAAAAUCGACUAGGUUUUCCAUUUUGAAAUUCGACAUUGAAAUCCUAAUUGGUCAAAUGGGUUGAAUGAAAUUGACAAUUUAUUUAAAAUCGACCGGAUUACCCUAAAAAGGGAAACUAGUCAAAUGAAUUGAGUGGAAUUUAAUAACUUACUCAAAAUGGACCAAAUCAUCCUAAAAAAGGAACUUGAUCGAAUGAAAUUGAGAAUUUUAUUCAACAUGGACCGGAUCAUCCUAAAAAAUGACAUUAGUUAAAUGAAUUGAAUGAAAUCGAGAAUUUAUUCAAAAUUGACCAGAUCGCCUUAAAAGGGCAAACUGGUCAAAUGAAUCGGAUGAAAUUGAUGAUUUAUCGAAAAUCGACAAAAUUGCCCUAACUAAUCAAAGGAAUUGAAUGACAUUGGUGAUUUCUUCAAAAAUCGACUAGAUUGCCCUAAAAAUGGGUGAAUUAGCCAAAUGAAAUGAAGAUUUAUUCAAAAAUCGACCGGAUGACCCUAAAAAUAGGUAAAUUGGUCAAAUGGAUCGGAUGAUUUAUUCAAAAUUGAUUAGAUCACCCUAAAAGGGUAAACUUGGUCAAAUGAAAUUGAACGAAUCUGAUGAUUUGAAUUUAUUCAAAAUCGAUUGAGUAGACCUAAGAAUGGGUAAACUAAUCAAAUGAAUUGAAUGAAAUUGGUGACCUUAUUUAAAAAUCGACUAGAUUGCCCUAAAAUGGAUAAACUAGUCAAAUGAAUUCAAAAUCGACUAGGUUGCCCUAAAAAAUGAACAAAUUGAUAAAAUAGACUGGAUGAAAUUGAGGAAUCAAAUGAUCCAAUGGACUGAAUGGCUUGAUGCAUUAGUUUAUGAGCCUUCUAAAAUCAAAGUUUGGCCUUAGUUUAUUUAUCGUCUCAUCAGUGAGAAAAUAUUGGUGAAUGUUCCAAUUAAUGUCCUUUUUGCAAAGGAUUUUUACCAAUUUGAUAAAAUGGCCAAAAGGUGAUUGUUAGACGCUCAUAUUCCAAAGAUCGCUUUAUAAAAAUGAUCUGACCCUACCUUACCUUGUGCGCUACCCCUUUGGAUGGUACAAAAUGUAAACGUGCAAGUCUCCUUGGAUUAAGUAUUCGAGACACAAGGUGGCUUAUUCCUAACACGGGAUCCCCUAAAUGGCAUUCCCUUCUAUGGUUUAUGCGUGAUGCCAGUUUAUUAAAGCGAUAAAACAUGCAAUUUGAAAUGGAAACGUGACCUAAGGAGCCCUUCAUUUGCCAGGGUUGGCCUAAAAUGGUAUGACAUUAUUAAUUUAUGAACAAAAUAUACCAUAAUUUUCAAACGUGCAAUAACCUAUCUACAAGGGUAGGUCCUAAAAGAGGAUCAUGCCAGACCUCUUAUUUCCUAACAUUUGUGAAUGCAAAAGAUAAGAAACAAGGAAACGUUAGUUCAACACAUAAUCACAUAACACGUUGGACAAUUAGAUGAUACAAAAGCAACAAAGAAAUAAGGAAAGAGGGUGGGAUCCCUCCCUUCGUGCAUGGUGUCCCUAAUAGGGUAAGGUCGACUCUACCCUAGGCAAUUCUAAAAUGGAUGCAUGAGGUUUGGCUCACUAAUGCAUCUAGACUCGAUAAACUCAGGUCCCCGAGCCUUCAGACUUGGAAACCAAAGGUCAUCACUCCGAAGGUUCCUUGUCGGUGGCUCGAGCGAUUCCCCAGACGUUGCUACGCACACGUCGUGUCACGGCUACCCGUCUGGGCGAAUCUAAAAAGAAUCCUCAACCUUCGACUAAAAACUAAUAGGUCAUCAACCUAAAGUUUAAAGCGGAAGAUCGAGUGACCCCUCGGAUCAUGCUACGCACACGUCGUGUCACGAUCACAUGUCCAAGUGGGUCGCCUAAAAUCCUAAUAGGGUGGAGUGGCGUGACAAGCCACUAAAAGAAAAAUAAAAGAGGGAUAAAUAAAUAAAACGGAUGCACGUAUGCUAGUGCUCGUUUGGAGGGGAGGGAUCGAAAACCAACGUGAGGCUCUAAGGUGAUGUCCCUCACCCAAAUGCAAUGCAAGCGCGAGAUAAAUGAGUAAACAUACAUCCCAUCAGCCAAUCAUACAUUCGUGAGUGAGGGAAUAAUUAAUACGCGCGAAAUGCAAAAAUCCUAAAAAGGAAAGAUACAACCCUAAAACACCCAAAUGUGAUAUAUGAAAAGGUUAAAAGAAGAAAAAGGUUGAUUAAAUCAAAUUUGCUCGGACUCUCAAAUGUCCCCAGUGGAGUCGCCAACUGUCGCGCCCCAUUUUUUGAAUAAAUAAAUAAAUAGGUUUAAAAAUGUAUUUUUUUUUAUUCAAUUUGGGAUUGGAAAAUGAAUUGUGAUUUAAAAGAAAAAUGGGUCUAAAUGGGGGUUUGAGAAUGCGACGAUUUGACCCAAAAUUAUAGUUUAAAAAGGGUUUUUGAAAUAAAAAAUUGGAGUCGCCACUUGGUAAUGAGUUAAGGUGUACCUAGUCACCUAAAAAUGAAUUUUUAAAGAAAAAAUAGGAAAAAGUAGCAAGAAACCCCUUUUAAACGACUCCUAGUCUACGUAAACCAACGAAAAAGGUUCGGGAGUCACAUUUGACGAAGAGGAAGGCAAGGAUAAAAAUCCAAGGCACCCCUUCGACCUAGGCAAGGCUAGUUGCGUGAUUUAAUCAAAGAUUUUCUUGUUUUAACCAAAGAAUUUAUUACAUUUUGGAUGUACUACAUGAAUGCAAAAACCUAGACCUAGGGGACAUGGGGAAAAUUUCUCUUCAAAGGUUGAGUGGUGCCAUUCACAUUAAUUGUGAAGCCCAAUAAUGACCCUUUGGAGAUGUCACACAUAAUCCUAAAUGACGUAAAAAAUGAGUGAAAUGAAUGCAUGCCAUGUGAAAAUGUGAGUUUGUGUGAAGUGAAAAAGUGAUAAAAACAAGAGUGUAUAAGUGGAAGUGUGCAAAUGGGUGUACAAGAUAAGGUGAGUAAAGUAAUAAUGUGAAAAUGUAUGAGGGAUGCAAAAAUGCCAAUAAAGAAAGUAAGUGCAAGUGUGCUAAGGUGAUAAAAGUGCACGUGUGCACAUGUAAGGAAAGUGUACGUGUGCCAAGUGGGAAAGUAAGAGUGUUUGUAUGCAAAUAGAUGAAAAUAGGGUAUGAUAGUAGUAAAUAAGUGCAAUGUGUGAGACAUGUCAUUUGAAUUUGAAAAAGGUAUAAGGAGUGAAAAAAUGUGGAUAAAAAGGUGAGGAAAUGGUAUGAGAAUGUAUGAACCUAGAGGAAUGCAUCAAGUCGGGUACGGGGACUCCUAACUUUGUGACUUUAAUUUUCCCUUUGAUUAGAAAGGAGAACUAGCGUGCUAAGGCUAUUUUUGGAGCCACACUCGCUCGUUUCCCUUAUCGAAAGGGGACUCGUCAAGCAAAUGUCACUAUAACUAGCAUGAGAUGCAAAAACCUAAAAUGAAAGGGAAAGGAUCGGAGGAACAUACCAAAUGCUAAAAAAACUAAGAAAAAAUGCAUGAAAUGAAGUUAAACAUGCAAGUAUGGACUCACGAAAGAAAAUCCUAAGGGUCUAGCGUUGGACUAGCCCAUUCUAUGAAUUCCUACUAGCGUUGGACUAGUGGAAACGUACAUUCAUCCAUCACAUUCAUUCAUGGCUAUGGAAAGCGAGUAGACAUGCCAAACACUCGUAAACACGUAGCACAUAACACUUAGCAUGCUCGACUAGAUGCAAGAGCCUAAUAAAGCAAAUUAACACAUAGCAACCAAAAGCAAGUAAUCGAACUAAUGGAUCUAUUACAUUUGCUAGCUAGGCACACGUUUUCAGUAGGUCUUCGUCAAAUGCACCUCCAAGCCCUAUCUAUUACAAGCCAAGAGGUGUACACAUACCCCAUAAAUAAAAGAAUGACUUAAUAAAAGCAAAUGUAAAUGAAAUGAAAAAAAAGCAAGGAAAGCAAGUAAAGUAGGCAUGCAAUUCACAUUUAGCACGUUGGAUCACGUAGGAGAGACGAAAAGGGAUAAAAGAAAUUAUACCGCCCCCUUCAUGACGUUGAUAGAGUAAAAGGACUCAAUUUGGACUAGGGUCACCAAAAAAGGGAUAACUUAGGCUAAAACCAUCAAAGCAAAGGAUUAAUGCACCAAUUUAGUGGUAAAACAUAUAUAAACCAACUUGAUUCCACCAACAUCGAAUCCUUGUUCAAUUGCAAUUAAUUAAAGAAAUGCAUAAUGACCAAGGAAAAAUGGAAUAACUCAUCAAAAUUUCCAAAUAUAGCAACUAAUGGGAGCUCAAAACGACCUUUAACCAAUCAUUCAAGUCAAAAUGCAAUGCUUAAAAACUUCAAAGGUCCAAAAAGCCAAAUAACGAGUCAAAUUACAAUCAACUUAGGAUUCAAUUGCAAGAGAUUGGAAUGAAAUUGGGUCCUUGUGACAUUGCUGCAAAAUCAUAGGGACCAAAUUGAUUAAUUUUCUCAAUUUUCUAGGUCAUAGUGUCAUAAAGGGAAACUUGAGGGGUUAAAGGACAAUUUCCCUUGGUUUUUCAUGCAUGCAUACGUAAAAGAAGGGUUCUCUUCCUGCAACAUUUCUGCCGUGAAUUCCUUUCCAGCUUGUCAUGCGAACAUGCUCACCAAAUGCCCAGAUUCUCACUAACAAUCAUUGACUAAUCAUGCAACUUCAUUGCAAGAUUAAAACAUGAAUUGAAGCUAACCAUCAAGGAUACAGAUUGAACAGCAAAAGAAGGAAAAAGGAAAAGAUGCAGCGAGGUUUUCUGCAAGCUAGGAAGCUUUCGGUCAUCAAGGAUGAAUCAAGAUUUUUCUCACCAGGCAUCAAGAGCUUUAGAUUAAUGCAGAAGCCACGACAAUACUGCAACCCAAACAAUCAACAAACAUAGAAACAAUGCAAGCUCUUAAAAUUUCAUGCAGGUCUAUGGACGAAAUUGCUGCAACAACCUGCUGCAAUUUUCAGUUAGCCCAAAAGUGAUCGUGCGAUGGGAAAGGAGAAUGAACUAAUGUGGGCUCGUGUGGACUUGGGAUAGUGAGAAGGGAGAAAUGCAGCUCUAUGACAUACAAUUCCAACAUCCCAACAAAUCAAAACAUAGAAGGAGAAUCACACAAAUGCUAGAGCAAGAUUGCAGCAAGCCUUCGGCAACCAGAAAUUUAUUUUUUAGCAAAGUGUUUGAUCAGUAGUUCAAGCAUUGUAAAUCCCCAAACUUACAGAUUCAUCACCAAAACCUUCCUUUUCUUUCCCUUUAAACCAGAUUAGCAUGCCACUUAAGUGUAAGGGUCGAUAAACAGCCACGGAAAAAGGAAGAAAACAGCGCAGGAAACGCGACAGCCUUUUUACUUUGCUGCAGAUUUUUGCAGCUUCAGGCUUGCAUGGAUUAAAUGCUAAAAACAUGAUGUUAGACCCACCAUUUAUCUACCAAGCUCAUACAUAACUCCAAACAUCAGUCUAUCAUUAGUCAAGCAUGGCUAUCUUCCCCCCCCCAAACUAUUCCAAGAAAUUCAGCCAAGGCAACGAGAUAAUAAAGAAAAUGCAGCAGCUCCUCAUUAUUCAAACCAGAAUAUCCAAAUUUCCAUUGUUAACAACAUCCGAUGAUAAGCAUGAUAUGAGCAAGACUAAAACAGUAAAGAUGACCCAAAACAGCACGAAACACCAGAGAUUACAUGCAUCAAAAAGAUACCAUAGACAUCAAUAGCUCCCAGAUGCAACUGAAUGUAAAAAAAAAAGAAAAUGCAGCAGGGGGGCACGAGGAAACUCGCGGCUUGCGGCAACAUGCCUACGGCAUACCAUCCCAGCCGAAUACCCAAAAAAAACAUAAACUUCAAACCAGUCAACAUGAAACAGAGAGGGACCAAGUAACAUUGGAAACAAAAUGGCAAACACUGGACGCUGACUCCUCUAUCAUGUAAACAUCAAGCAUUGGUUUUUUUCUUUAUCAUAUAGACAUCAUCCACAGCCACAAGACUGGACCUUUUACCCACAUAUAAGAAAUAAACUCUUGGUGAUCAUAAAACAAAAGGGGCGGCAGAAUAGACAAUCAAAGCAGUGAUCUUUCCAUAAGCAAAAUCACUAAACAUUAUUCAAAGAGAUACUGGGAUCUAAAGGGAAGGAACUACUUACAGUACUCAGGCUUUCUUGAUGAAGAUCCGCCUCUGCUGGUGGCGUGAAGGUGAGCAAAUCCUUUGCUCAGGUUUGUUGCUUCAGGUUACAGCUUCCUCGGUUUUCCUCCCGUCUUCUUCCAAGUCUCAAGUUCUGGUUUUUCUUUCGUUUCCCUCAAACUCGCGGGUCUCCCGUUCCUUCCAGCUUUUCCAGUCUUUCUCUCCUCACCUCCCAGAUUCUAACCGUCACCCUAGCUCUCUUUUCCUCAACUUUUACCUCUCUCAAAGCUCUAACCUUUUGCGCAGCCCCCCUGUUUUCUCUUCCGGACUCAGCCGUCACUCCCUUUGUUUCUUUUCUGGUUUCCUCUCCAGCCCACUCACCAAACCCCAGCCGUUAAAAGCCUUCAGAUUUUUCUCACUCAGCCGUUAUCUUCCCAAAAAACCCUCUCUCUCGCUCUCCUUGAAGUUUCCUUCCAUCUCUCUGUAGCUUUUUCUGGUUUUCUACCGCUCUCUCGCUUCUCAGUUUUUCCUUAGCCGUCAACUCAAAAAACCUUCCCCUGCGGCUGAUGCUCUCUUUUCUAUUUAUAUCGGACUCCUCAACCCUAAAACCCAGUCCUUUCUUCUGUAAUUUGCAGCCAAGGGACUACCCAGCCUUUCCUUGCAAGCUGCGACAAAACGCAGCUUGCAUGCCGCAAAACCUCUUUUUUUUUCUUUUUUUUUUCCAACUUAAUAAUUUAACAAAAAUAAAAGUAAAACUAAAUAAUAAAAACAACAAUUUUAAUUACAAAUACAUCAAAAUAAACAAACUAAAACAACAAAAUUGCCAUUUUCAAUUUUUUUCUUUCAUUUUUCAUUUUCAUCAUUUUUCACUUUUUUUCUUUUUUUUUCUUUUUUUUUUCAAGAAAGCAUUGAAUUUAGAUUACAAACGACUAAAUCAUAUUUUUUUUGAAUGCUUUUUCUUUUCUUUUUUUUCCGUUUUUUCAACAAAUUCUAUGAUAAAAACUUAAAAAAUAAAAAUAAAACUAGAAACUAAAAACUAAAAACUAAAAAAUCGAAUAAAACUAACACGACAAAUAAAAAACUAAAAAUAAACAGUAAAUGAAAUUACACCAAAAAUUUGGUGUCUACAAUCGGGACUGACCCGAGACCGGAAAUUUAAAAUUGGGACUGACCCGAAAUAGGAAAUUUAAAACGGGACUGAUCCGAACUGAAAAUUUAAAAUCGGGACUGACUCGUGACAAGAAAUUUAAAAACGGGACUGACACAAACAGAAAAUUUAAAAUCGGGACUGACCCAAAAUAGAAAAUUUAAAACGGGAUUGAUCCGAACAGGAAAUUUAAAGUCGGGACUGACCCGAGACAGAAAAUUUAAAAUCGAGAAAUUCCAAUAUACUUACCCGAAAAUAGCCCAAAAUUUUCAGUUGAGGUUAGGUUCUUGCCUCUGAACCGAUGGUUGAUUCUGUAUUGCCAUGUUAUUGUACCUUUUGAUUAAAUUUGCUUGCAACACUUUCGAUCCGCCUUUGUUCAUUGGAGAACUCUUUCCGACAGCAAUUCCAGUGCGAGGUGUGAUUGUUUUUAUCUGUGCAUGCAAUUUUCUGCAAAAGAGAAAAAACAAAGAAAUCGCCACCAUCAUUUGGUCCGUUUUCCUUUGAGAAUCGUGUAAAUAUGAGGUUUUUUUUUAUGCCUUUGUCAACUUUUGCUGUGACAUUUUCCCAAGCUAACCAUGUAUAUAUUUGCCAUAUCACGAAACCUACGCGAACAGCUUUGCUGGAUCUCAACUAUUUUCAAAAGGAAACUGAAUCCGAGUAUGCUUCGAAUAAAUCAUAGGGAUUGUCAUUCACCAAAAUUCAAAGAUUUAAAAAAAAUGAUGUAAGCAAGGUAAUUUCACAUGUAAUACAGAAAUGAACAUGCAAAACAAUGCAAACAAGACCGACUGUGCUCAAACCUAUAAAAUGCCACGACUACAAGCAAUUGAGAAAAAUGAGCUUCAUAAGAAAUGUAUUUUGCAGAAAAUAUUUUUUACAAAAAUGACAUAGCUUUCGGCCAACAGAUGUCAUAUUUGAAUCUCUGGAUAUCUUUGUUCUGGAAUUCAACAUUGGCAGAAGUAUUACAAAAAUGAGGAGAAAUCCAAAUGAACCAAGUCACCAGCUGUUCCUCCUUGUGUUCGCUCGCUGCAAAAUCCUACCUUGGCACCCUUUCGGGUUUUCACCAAAGUUGACCCCCCCCCUUUUUUUGCUUUUUUUUUUUGUUUUGUUUUGUUUUUCCUUUCUUCUUUUUUUUUGUGUUUUUUUUUUCUCUUUUUCCUUUCUUCUUUUUCUCUUUUUUUUCUUUUUUUUCUUUUUUUUUUGAGGUGCCCUUUCGAGUUUUCAACUAAGGAACAAUGGAAAAGCUCGACCAUGAUCAACUCAAGAGUGUGAGUUGAAGAUUUCUGGCAUCAGUAAAACGCACUUCCCUUAUAAAUUUAAGUGAAGGCAUUACGGACACCACUUGCCAGUUGAUUAGCGAAAUCCCUAAUAGAAAUACAGCAAGUGACGAAAGCUAGGACUUUUGGGCUUUUGUAAUGAGGUUAGAUGGGAUGUUUUCAAGAAAGUUGAGGCUUGAAAGCAAAAAAAUUUUUUUUUUAAAUGAAAAGUGUGAAAUAACCUGAGAUUGCAUCAUUUUGAAAUCAUCUCCAAUUUUGAACGACACUACGGAAAAUUUGCCCCAGUUUGAUUGGGAUUUUUCUUUCUUUGCAUUUUUCAUUGUAUUUUCCUCACUUUUGCAUUUUGCUUUUAAAAACUAAAUUUGCCCCAGUGUGGGACUUUCCUUUUCUCUCUGAUCAUCUAUUUUCAAAAUAAAAUUGCCCCUAGUGUGGGGCUUUUCUUUUCCUUUUUCUCUUUUGGAUCAUCUUUCUCUCAAAAUAAAUUUACCCCAGUAUGGGGGUUUGCAAUUCUCAGGGGCUGUCAAACGAAAAUUAUUGUUCUGAUAGCUCAAACGGGAUGACUAGGGAUGAAAUGUUUUUAUUGGAAAAGAAGAUGGCCUGACUUUUGUUUUGUCACUUGCGUGACUUCUAAAAGAAAUUUGCAUAAUCAAAUAAAGAACUUCUUACACAUGUCUGAGUUGAUAGGUUGAGGGAAUGUCUGUCCAUCCAUCUCGCCCAAAAUGAGUGCUCCUCCAGAUAACACCUUUUGAACAAUAAAUGGCCCUUGCCAAUUUGGAGCAAAUUUGCCUUUGGCCUCAUCCUGCACUGGUAAAAUUCAUUUAAGUACUUUGUCGCCUUCCUCAAAUGUACGCCGAUGGACUUUCUUGUUGUAGGCCCGGGCCAUGCGUUUUUUGUAACAUUGGCCAUGACAAAUAGCAUUAAGCCGUUUUUCAUCUAUCAAGAACAGUUGUUCAUAACGUUGCUUUAACCAAUCAGUCUCUUCCAACUUGGUUUCCAUUAGAAUACAUAACGAAGGGAUUUCGACCUCAGCAGGUAGCACAGCUUCCAUUCCGUACAUAAGCGAGUAGGGGGUCGCUCCAGUUGAAGUUCGAAUAGAAGUACGGUAUGCCAUUAGUGCAUAAGGAAGCUUUUCAUGCCAGUCACGAUGCUUUUCAGUCAUCUUACGAAUGAUUUUCUUCAAAUUCUUGUUUGCGGCUUCCACAGCUUCGUUCAUCUGCGGUCUAUAGAUGGCAGAGUUAUCUGUAAUCAAUGUUUCUGGCACCCCAAAUCGGCAUAGGAUGUGAUCUCUUAAGAAAUUUGCCACCAUCUUCUUUGUCACGUGCUUGAAUGAUUCGGCUUCAACCCAUUUGGUAAAGUAUUCAAUUGCAACCAAUAUAAAUCGAUGCCCAUUUGAAGCAGGAGGAUCAAUUGUGUCAAUCACGUCCAUACCCACAUUGAGCAGGGCCAUGGGGCAAUCAUGCUAUGCAAUUCGGUGGGAGGAGCGCGUAUAACAUCGCCAUGCACUUGACAUUUAAUACAUCUCCGGACAAAGUCUAUGCAAUCGCACUCCAUGGUAAGCCAGAAGUACCUGGUUCUCAUGAUUUUCUUUGCUAACAAAUGUCCAUUCAUGUGAAGUCCACAAACACCACUAUGCACCUCUUUCAUCAUGUAUUAAGCUUCAUCCUCAUCGAUGCACCUUAAGAGGUUCAAAUCUGAGGUCUUUUUGUACAAUACCUCCCCAUUUAAGAAAAACUUCGAGGCCAUUCUGCGCAGGAAACCCUUCUCGUUUGCACUAGCUUCCGGAGGUUAAGACCUGAUUUUGAUGAAUUCCUUAAUAUCAUUGUACCACGGGCAUUUACCAGAUAUUUUGUCUAUGACCCAACAAUGAGCAGGCUUGUCCUGGAGUUGGAUUCGGAGAGGCUCGAUUCCUAGUUCGUCCGGAUAUUGUAUCAUAAAAGAUAAAGUGGCCAAAGCAUCGGCAAAUACAUUUCGGGCUCGCGGGAGAUGUCUGAAUUCCAAACUUUGAAAUUGUCUAGCCAGAGUGAGCAAAUUACAAUCGUAUGGCAAGAUCUUGGAAUCUUUGGUUAUCCAUUGCUUCAACGUUUGGUGCACAAGUAAAUCUGAAUCACUGAAAGCUAUCAACUCUUUAACUUCCAUUUCCAAAGUCAUUUUAAGACCAAAAUUACAGGCUUUAUACUCAACCAUAUUGUUUGUGCAGGCAAAUUGUAAUUUAGCAGCCCCAGGGUAAUGCUUCCUUUCUGGAGAUACGAGAACUGCUCCUAUUCCAGUUCCGAAAGAAUUAGCGGCACCAUCGAAAAACAACCUCCAUUCAGGGCACAGCUCGCUCAUAUCUUCUACGGCACCCACAAGUAAAACCUCGUCAUCGGGGAAAUAAGUAUGGAGCGGUUAAUAGUCAUCCUCGUUUGGAUUUUCUGCCAAAUGAUCGGCUAUAGCUUGUCUAUUGACGGCCUUUUGCGAAGUGAAAACAAUAUCAAAUUCCGAAAGAAUCAUCUGCUAUUUGGCCAGACGCCCAGUUGGCAUUGACUUCUCCAAGAGGUAUUUCAGAGGAUCAGAGCGGGAUAUGAGAUAUGUAGUAUGACUUAGCAGGUAGUGCCUCAACUUUUGAGCUACCCAGGCCAAUGCACAGCAGCUUUUCUCAAUAAAUGAAUAAUUAGCCUCAUACUGGGUGAAUUUCUUGCUCAGAUAGUAGAUGGCUUGCUCUUUCCUUCCGGAAUCAUCGUGUUGCCCCAGAACACAACCUACUGCUCCGUCGAGCAUGGAUAAGUACAUGAUCAAAGGCCGGCCCGGCUUAGAUGGCACUAGGAUCGGAUGGUGCAGCAAAUAAUCCUUAAUUUUGUCAAAAGCUUGUUGGCACUCUUCAUUCCAAUGCAAUGGCACAUUCUUUUUCAACAACUUGAAUAGUGGCUCGCACGUAGCGGUUAAUUGGGCAAUGAAUCUUCCAAUGAAAUUAAUUUUUUCCAAGAAACUUUUCGCAUCUUUCUGCGUUUUUGGCACUGGCAUGUCUCGAAUUGCCUUGAUCUUUGUCGGGUCUAUCUCUAUGCUCUUUUUACUGACAAUGAAUCCCAACAGUUUACCAGCUGGUGCUCCCAAGGCACAUUUCGCAGGAUUUAGCUUCAAAUUGUACUUCCGCAACCUGUCAAACAACUUUUUUAGAUCAAUCAAAUGGUCCUCUGUUUUUCUGGAUUUGAUUAUAAUGUCAUCCACAUAAACCUCCAUCUCCUGGUGGAUCAUAUCAUGAAACAAGGUAGUCAUGGUCCUUUGAUAAGUAGCUCCAACAUUCUUUAAACCAAACGGCAUUACUCGAUAGCAGAAUGUGCCCCAAGGGGUGAUAAAAGCAGUUUUUUCCCUAUCUUCUUCGGCCAUUAAGAUCUGAUGAUAUCCAGCGAAACAAUAACAAAAAGAUUCAAUUUCGUGUCCAGCAGUGUUGUCUAGAAUAAUGUGAAUAUUUGGCAAAGGAAAGUCAUCUUUCGGACUGGCUUUAUUAAGGUCCCUAUAAUCAACACAGACUCGUACUUCUCCAUUCUUCUCCAGAACAGGGACUGAAUUUGAGAGCCAAACAGGAUAAUGAGAUACAAUGAUAAUAUUAGUCUUAAGCUGCUUUUCAAUUUGCUCUUUUAUUUUGAGGCUCGUGUCUGGUUUGAAUUUACGGGGCCUUUGCUUCACUGGUGGGAAAGUUGGGUCUGUAGGUAAUCUGUGUACCACUAUAUCGGUCGAAAUGCCAGUCAUAUCGUCAUAAGACUAUGCAAAUACAUCUUGAAACAUGGACAAAAAUUCAAUCAUCUCCUUUUUCUGCUUUUCGUUCAAAUGAAUGCUGAUUUGUAUCUCCUUAACCUCAGUCUCAGUGCCAAUGUUGACAAUUUCUGUUUCUUCUAAGUUCGAUUUAGGUUUCUCCUCAUAUUGUUCGAGAUCUUUUGAGAAAAAAUCAUAUACCUCCUCAUUAUCACUCUCGUCUUGCAAUUCAUAUUGCAUAAUUUCCAAGUCGUGAGUGAUAUAGAGAUUGUCAUCAUUGGGUUCCAGAACAGUGAUAUCCAUAGGGUCAAAUAAUUUUAUUUUCGGCCAUCUGAAAGGAUUAAGAAAUUCAAGGCAAUAAGCAAAUAAAACACGCAAAUAAACAAGUAAACGAACAAUUGUGAUAAAAACUACUUGUGCAUUUUCAUAAGCUUCAAAUCAAAGUGAAACAAGACAAAAGUUUAAUUGCUAAAGAUGCUUUCAUUAAACUAUUUUCAUAUGCAAGAAACAGUUUUCAUGAACUUUGGUAAAUGACAACCCCCUGUAGAUUUACCGAAACUCCUUUUGCACGGGAAAGCACUCGGCGGUCCAGUUGUGUAUAGCUCCUUGGGGAAUGUCUGGGAAUUCGGCAUCAUCUGACGGACAAUCUUCGGAUAUUGCUCCCACAAACAAAUGAGUCAGGCUUGUCUCCACAUCGUAAAUUGGGCUAAACUCAGAUGUAAUUUCUUCAGCCGGCUUUGGAAAGGUAUAGCGUAGUGGUGGAAUGUCUAAAACACCUAACUUGCCUUCCUUUUCGGCCUUCUUGCGUGCUUUCAUCUCUUUUAUAUCUCUGGCAGUCGGACGGAAUCCCAAACCAAAUAAGUCCUUCUUUUCGAUGAGUUCCACGGGUUUCAGAAUGCCUUGUAGAUUGCACCCCAAUCCCUUAUCAAAUUCAUAUCCUCCGCGAAUCAUUUCCUUGGCCAUCAUAACAUUGGCCGCUGGCAAAACCAUUUCGUCUUUUAAAGCCUCACUUGUUAUCCAACUCACAGAGACAAUGUCAGUUGUACGGUAAGAAGACACUGAAGCAUUUCGGUUACCAUUUUCCUUAGGCUCGGAAUCGGCAAUUACAAUGUAAUUUUCUUCAGUAAAAAUGGUUAACAGCUGGUCGUUCACCACAAAUUUCAAUACUUGAUACAAGGAAAAGGGCACAGCGCCAGAGCUAUGAAUCCACGGCCGCCCGAGUAAAACAUUAUAGACACUGGAAAAGUGCAUAACUUGGCAGCCUAUCUGAAAUUGAGCGGGCCCCAUUUCAACCACCAAAUGUACUUCUCCUAUGGACUCCCUUUAGGUUCCAUCGAAUCCUCGAACUACGGUUUCUGAUGGUUUUAAUUUGACAUCUUGCAACCCUAACUUCACCAAAGUGCUCCAAGGACAAAUAUUGAGAACAGACCCAUUGUCGAUCAGUACUUUAUGCAACAUUUUCCCAUUGCACCUCACAGCUACAUAUAAGGCUUUGUUAUGACCAGUUCCUUCCACAGGCAGCUCUUCAUCAGAAAAAGUGAUUUGUUUAGCAGACAUUUCUGACUAUGUGCGAGAAAUUGUCAACCGAAAUAUCCUUGAGAAUCCGAGCCUUAGUCAAAACUUCAAGUAACGCAUCCCUGUGCAAGUCAGAGGAGAAAAGCAAGUCUAAGAUGGAAAUUUGGGCAGGCAUUUUGUUCAGCUGUUCAACCACAUUGUAUUCGCUUCUCUUAAGCCUCUUGAGAAAAUCCCAUGCCUCUUUUUCAGUCACUGCAGCUUUGGUAGUCGGAUCAUGAUUGCUUAUUUUGACUGGGACGCCAGCAGUGGAUGAGCUUGCGAUUUUUCCUGACCUUGUGACAGCAGACACUUCUUCCUUCAAAACUUGUUUACUCCCGAUUUGUAAAACGGGCUCACUGAAAUUCCAUGGUACCUGCUGUAAGCUGGAAACUGGCACUUGUUCUGGGAACUCAAUUACCACAGGUUCUAAAGCCGCACUUUCGGAUGGGGUUAGAUCUAAAAUGAAGGGCUUUUUGUCUUCCUCAUAUGAUGCUUCCUCUAUCACAAAAGGUUGAUCCAUUAUCCCGACCACUUUGAUUUCAUUUGACAUGCUUCGAAUAAGCUCCUUAAAUUCCUUAUCAUCCAUAAUAACUCCGACAGUAUCAGCGUGUUCUGGCAAAGGAUUCUUGCUUACGUUUGGUCCUUGCUCUUCUCUUUUCCUAAUUAUGAUUUCUCCUGCUUCGAGCAUGUCUUGAGUCUUAUGUUUGAGGAGUCAACAAUUGGCAGUGGAGUGAUCAGGUGCCCCUGAAUGAUAAGUGCAAAUAGCCUGUGGAUUGUACCCAACAGACAUGCCAUAAGGGUAAGUUGGAGGGGGAAUCACGCCUAUUUUACCGGCAGCCUUUAAUUGCUCAUAUAACUGAUUUAAAGGCCUGCAUAGGUUGGUGAACGUUCGGGUACAAUUCUGAUUGUAGGUUUCAGUGGGUUGGGGAUAGUUAUAGGUGGGUCUAUUUGGUGGGGGAAAUUUCUAGUGGUAAGGAGGUAGGGGACGAGUUUGUUGAAAAUUUGACUGAGAUAUUUGGAAAGAAACUGUAGGCAGGUUGGUGUAAUUUGGGCGAUGUCGAGAGUAGGAGAUAUUGGUAUUGUAGACAGGGUGAGGACUUGGAUAGUAGGGAUAAGGUGGUGAAUAUGUUAGUUUGUGUUGAAAUUUGGAUUUUGGUGUAGGGUUUUGGUCCCAGAUAAAGGCAGCUUCCCCCUCUUUCUUUUUAAAUUGCGGCUUUUUCCCACUGCUCCCUUGUCCUUGCAAAGCAUCCAACUGCGAUUUGAGGGCAGAGACAUUAACGAUCUUCCCAACUCUUAUGAAAUCAUCGUACUCUUCAAGCUUAUUGACAAUAGCAGCAACGAACAUCCAGUCAUGAGGAAAAUUUCUUUAAAGUACGGCGGAUCAUGUGCUUUAAUGAAAAUGUGUAUGAUUUCGUCCUCAAUCAUUGGUGGCUCGACUUUUGCAGCUAUUUUUUUCCAUCUCUUAGCAGAAGUCUUAUGGUCCUCAGAGGGUUUUCUCUUUGUUCCUUCCAACGUGGUUCGUGUCAGAGCCAGCUCGCAGUUAUACUCGUACUGCCUCACAAAAGCAUUGGACAAGUCAAACCAGGUCUUUAUUUUUUCGGGUUUCAGAUUGGAAUACCAGUCGAGUGCAUCCCCUUCCAGACUUUCCGGGAACAGCCUUAGAGGUAGAUUCUCGUCAUCUAUGGGCCUUCCUAACUUGUUAGCAAACAGACGGAGGUGCGUUUUGGGAUUGCUCGUUCCAUCAUACUUGUUAAAUUUUGGGGUCUUGAACCCCACAGGCAAUUGCACAUUUGGGAAGAGACAAAAUUCAUCAUAGUCCAGCACUCCUUGCUUGUUUAACCCUUGACUUUUUCUCAUAAAUUCAUCGAAACGGUCUAGGCGCUUGAGCAGCUUCAUAACAACGGGAGCAGAAGAUUCUCUCAUCUCUGGUUUGGUUUGAACAGUAUGGUCUGGCAGGAAGGGCUCAGCAGCAGUGUGAUAAAAGGUAUGCGGCUCAGGUGGUAUAUUUGAGGUGACUAGGGGUUGUGGACCUCGCAUGUGAGAAGGAAAAGAUGAAGGAUUAGGAGGGUAAGCGUAUAGCAAAUUCGUGGUAGCAUAGGUGAAAGUUUCUUCUGGUGGAAUAAGGAAAGAGGGAGUAGAGGUUGUUUGAGUCGGAGGUAUGACAAAUGAUUUUUGCUCAGGUUGUCUGACGGGUAUGGGCUCGGGUUGAACUCCGCUGCUGAUAAGCUCAUCAAUCAAUUUCCUUUGAUCCGCCAUCUCGAUAGCCAUCUCACCAAACUUAUUAAGCAUCUCGGUUAGGUGAACCCCUAAACUCGUAGCCUCAGGUUGAGCUGCAGUAGCAAACCUAUCCGACGGUUCCGAUUGUGAACUCAUGUUUACACGAUUCCUCUGGGCUUGACUACAGGAUCGUGUUAUGAUGGGGUUUCGACGAGAAGCUAUAUUUAAAUAUUACCUGAAAAUAUGAAAUGGCUUGCCUUUAGAUUUUAGCCCUCGCUUAGCUUUUCCAACAAAAAUAAAAUAAAGAAAAAGAAAAAGACAAGUGUUAGUAAAUAUCCAAAAAAUUCGGAUGCAUGUCCUAUUGGAGAACCCUUUUUAUGCCAAGGGUGGGCCUAACAUGAUGCUAUACCUUCGGGGUAAAAUUCUAAUUUCAAACCUGUAAGUGAAUAUAAAAGCAGGAAUUCUCAUUAAAUAUGGAUAAACUCAAUCCUUCUUUACAAUCUCAUUGAUGGUUCGACUGACCAUUCUUACAAAAUCUUCAUGUCUAGCUAGUUUAGUGUGUUGGGAUUCCCUAGAACUCCCGAUACUAAGUUUCCGAAUCUCAUCUUGGAUUUUAUCAAAUGUACCCAAUGCCUUUUCCAAUUUCUCGAUUUUCCUUGCCUCUUUCUUCAGUUGUGAUCGGGCGUCUUCCAAUGCUUGAUCGGCCACCAUGAUCUGCAACUGAUGAUCCUCCAAUUCUUUCAUUAAUUUCUCAUUCUGCUCUUCAAGACUAACGGAGACCAACGGUACCCUUUCUCUUCCUUGUUCCAUUAUUGAUUUGAUCCAGUCGUUGUACUCCAAGAUGACCUUAGGCUCUACUUUAUUCACUUGGUCCAAAUGCAGGUUGUCCAAACUACACAGAUUCCCCCAAACUUCCAACACCAUACUCCGACAUUUAGCGACUGUAUUGAGUUCGAUGCUUCCCACUCUUUGUAUGUUCGGCACUCUCUGCGGAUACCCAAACUGUCUCAUAACUCGUUGUGGCACGUACAUAAUCAAUCCACUGGUGCUCGCUAAUGGGAUAAAGCCAAAUUGUGUAGUCUUGAAAGCUGGAUCCCUUACUUUCGUCCAAUCGAGAACCCAUUGUAUCUUAUCCGAAGUUAAAACAUUGAAUUCUUGAAUAAACAAACUUGGAGACGCUAUUCGAUAAUAUUUUCUAACCCUUUCUCGGUGCGACUCAACCCAAUUUGCUGUUGGAAGACAUGAUCCCAAUGGAUUUAGCGCUCUUUUUGACAGAUGUUCCAUUGCCCACAUUUGAAGCACCAGGUUGGAUGCAUAGAAAAACCCCCUCUUCUUUUGGCAUUCGGUAACAGCAGUGAAGAUAUCAGCGAUGAUGAUAGGUACCAAAGUAGGGGUCUUUUCCUUGAUUCCUAGAAACACACUUUGAAUCAUGUUGACUGUUGAGAAAGUAACCUUUCCAUGCUUUUGUGGGAAUAAUAGUAAACUGGUCAAGACUAGUCCAAAGGCUUGUACUCGCUUUCCUUCCCACUGCUCUCUGCUAAUGAAGAAGUCAUCAUGGUGUCGGUCAUAAGAGUCCCUUUCCCCAAAUCGUUCGUACAAGAACUCCAGUGGACACGAUUUUGCGUCCGGGUGCUGGUCCAUACUAACUUGCCUUAAACCUAGAAAUUUGCAAAACUGCCCUCUAGUUCCACUAGUUGGGUACACCAUAGGGCAACCUUUCCCAGUCAUUUGCAAUAGUCCCUCUAUUUCCUCCAGAGUGGGUGUUAACUCACACUCCCCAAAUCAAAAAACGGAACAAUCGGGAUCCCAAUACUCGAGUAGUGCUUGAAUGAUUGCUAUGUUUAGGGUUAUGUUCAAGAGACUCGGUAGAUGCCCUAUAUACGGGAACAAUCAGUUCACUUCAUGCGCCAUGUUGUUCUUCCAAACCAUCAGCUCACGAGGUAUAUAGUUUAACAUUCGGCACGGAGCCAUCUGGGGAAGAAUUUCACUGUUUAGUACCUUACCUUGGAAUUUUACCCCUUAGGCCAAACAAAAUUGUAAACAUGCAAGUUUCGUUGGAUUAAAUAUCCGAGACAUGGGCUAGCUUAAUCCUAACACGGGAUUCCCUAAAUGGCAUUCCCUUCUAAGGUGGAUGCAUGAUGCUAGUUUAUCAAAGCGACUAAAUAUGCAGUACACCAAUGAAACGUGACCUAAAGGAACCCCUUUUUGUAUGCUGGGGUGAGCCUAAAAUGAUAUGUUAUUGUGCUACCAAUGCAAAGCAAUGAAUUUAAACGUAUCCAAUCAAAUAGGGUAGGUUCCUAGAGAGUACCAUGCCAGGACUCUUAUUUUUCUAGGGCUUAUGAAUGUAAUGGAGACAAAAAACCAAGAAAAGUUAGUUCAAUCAGAUAAAUACAUAUAACACAUUUGUAUCAAAGCAGUACAAAGAGAUAAAGCAAUAAAAAGAAUAGAGGGGUUGGAUUCCUCCUCUCGUGAAUAGUGUUCCUAAUUUAGGGUAAGGUCGACUCUACCCUAGGUAAUUCUAAUAUGGAUGCAUGAGGUUUGACUCACUAAUGCAUCUAGACUCGAUAAGGCUUCGGUUCCCAAGCCUUCAGACCUAAAGGCGAAGGGUCAUCACUCCCAGAGCCUUCGGUCGGUGGCUCGAGUGAUCUCUUAGGCAUCGCUAUGGGCGCAGUGCACACCAUCCGCCUACCUAAGGAAAUCAAUCCUAAUCCUACAGGGAGAUGUGGGAUAGCGCCCACAAUAAAGAGAAAAAAAUAGGGUAAAUAAAACUAUACAUGCACGUAUGAAGUGCUUCGUUUGGAGGGGAGGGAUCGAGAACCAACGCGAGGCUCUAGGGUAAUAUUCCCCCACUCAAAUGCAAUGCAAAGCACGAGAUCACAUGAAUAAACCAUUCAUCCAUCAAAUCAAUCGUACGCAAAUGUGUGAGGGAGUGAGUUGAUACGCGCGAAAUGCAAAAUUCCUAAAAAGGGAAAAAUACAACCCUAAACCUCCAAAAGUGAUAUAUGAAAAGGUUAACAUAAGAAAAAGAUUGAUUAAAUCAAAUUUUCUCGGACUCUCUAAGUCCCCAGUGGAGUCGCCAACUGUCGCGCCCCAUUUUUUAAUAAGAAAAAUAAAAGACGAGUUUAGAAAAAUGGCUUUUGAUUCAAUUUUUGAUUGAAAAAUGAAUUUUUGAUUUAAAAAGAAAAUGAAGAACAUGGGUCUAAAUGGGACUUGAAAAUGCGACGAUUUGAUCCAAAAUAUAGUUUAAAAAGGAUUUUUUGAAUGGAAAAUGGAGUCGCCACUUGGUAUAGAAUUAAGGUAUACCAAUUCACCAAAAAAUGAAUUUUUAAAGAAAAAAGUAAAAAAACCCUUUUUAAACGACUCCAAGUCUACGAAAAUCAGAGAAAAAGAUUCGGAAGUCACAUUUGAAGAAAGCAAAGGUAAGGAUAAUAAUCCAAGACACCCUUUCAACCUAUCCAAGGCUAGUUGCGCGAUUUAGUCAAAGAUUUUCUUAUUUUAACCUAAAGAUUUAUUACAUUUGGAUGUACUAUAUGAAUGCAAAUUCUAGAUCUAGGAGGGUGUCGGGGGGUCGAAAUGUAUCUUCAAAACUUACUUGAUACAAAUCACAUUAAUUGUGACGCCCAAUAAAGACUCUUCGAAGAAGUCACGAAUAAUGCAAGUCAUGAGACUCGAAAGAAAGAAAAAGAAAAGAAAAUAAUAAUAUACAAAUGUGUAUGGCCUAAAGGAAUGUAUCAUAAUGGGUGCGGGGGACUUAUACUCGUGACUUUCAAUGUUCCUUUUAAUAGAGGGAAUACGAGCGUGCUAAGGUUAGAAAGCCAAACUCGUCCAUACCCAUAUUUAAGGGGUUUUCCUAAUCUAGCAAGCAAAUGAUCUAACCUAGUUUCUAAUUUCCUAAAUGAAAUGCAAUCUAAUGUCAUGUCUCAUGCAUAGAAUUAUAAGAAAUAGGGGACAUGGAUAUAAGAGGGAAUACGAGAUAGGGGAUAUAAAUAGAAGGGGAUAUGGGAUAAAGGAUAUAAACAUAUAAGAAAAGUGUCAUACAACAUGAUAAAAACCCUAAAAAGUGAAAACAUGCAUGAGAUGAAGUGAUUUUAUCACACAACCAUGAUCUAACGCUCGAGGGGCUCCUAAGGGUCUAGUGUUGAACUAACCCAUGUCUACAAUUUUCCACUAGCAUUGGACUAGUGAGAAAAGUCGGAACAAAGGACCACAACUAGCGUUGGACUAGUGUGGAUUCGAGAAAUGGACCACAACUAGCAUUGGACUAGUGUGGUGACGUCACAUAUCGGUUAUAAUUAAUUAAUCAAGUAAAACUAACAAAAAAGCAAAUAAACACAUAAUAUCACAUAGACACAUAGCACAUAAUCAUGAUAUCUAGAUGCAAAACCCUAAGAAAGCGGAUAACACAUAACACAUAAGCAUGCAAGACAUAUCAAGCACAUAAAGCGAACAAACCCUAACUAUUACAUUAGGGGGGCCCUACUACAAUCUAAAAAAGGAAAAGUGAAAUAACAUGAAAUAAGGCAAACCUAACUAUUACAACUUGGCACUUAAAUGCCUUCCCCCAAAUAAUUACAAAUUGAAUUAAAAUAAAUAAAUAAAAUUGAAACAAAUAAAGCGAAUAAAUAAAUAAAUAAAAUAGAACAUUCAAAAGGCAUGCAAUUAAACACGUAAAGUCACGCAGUGCAAGUAGGGUCAAAUAAAGUGAGAAAUAAGAGAUAGGGUGUACCUCCUUAGAGUUGGGGCCCUAAUGAAAUGAAAUCACUUAUUUACCCUCCAAAAUAAUAAAAGAGUCAAGGCAUCACUUUAAUCAAGAAAUAAUCACACGAAAUGGGAAUAAACAUGAGAUUGAAUCAAUCCAAGGCGUUUAAAGGAAGGUGAACAACCCAUUAAAACAAGUAACAACUUGAUUGCAAAAACUAAAGAAAUUUGAGGGGUCAAUUUGAUUGAUUUAUUGAAAUUGCUUGGGUCAUAGUGGCAUUAGAUUGAAGUUAAGGGGAGUAAAGUGCAAUUUUUUUUUAAAGUUAUUUGGCAUGUAGAUUCCAUGCAAACUAGAGCUUCAGGCAAACCGAAGCUCUCUCUGUUUCUGCAAUAUUUCUGCUACGUUUCAUUACUCACCAUGCACAUCACCAACAAACAUUAACAACCACCAGACACUACCCCCAAUCAACCAAUUCGAAUACCACACUUUUAUUACAAGAUUAAGGCAGAAAAACUGGAUUGGUGACUGCCAGGGAUGCAAGAAAUAAAAGCAAAAGAAAGAAACAAAAGUGCAGCAAGCAAUCUGUAACUUUACAACUUAUUAACAACCCAAAGAGCUUUACAUUAGACUCCAGAAGACCAUGAUAAAACACUGGAUUGAACAAGCAAACAAAUAACCCAUUCAAAGCUCAUUCUAAGAUACAUUCAUUCCAGUUCUCUUUCCGCAAUUUUUAGUUAUUUCUUCCGCCACUUCAUCAUUCAGCUAGGAUGUCUAUGUGAAAUAAGUCGAACCAGGCCUACUGAUUCCCUUAACCAAAACCAAAUGCUAUAACCCCAAAGCCACAUUGUUAAUCUUAACUAAAAUACGAUUACCCAUUCCCAGCAGAUUAAUGGUGCAACUGAACAUGAAAACGCAUCAAAGAUAGAAAGAAAGAAUCUUGCACUAGACAUGCUCCCGGAAACCCAGUCAAAAACAAACAAAGCAUGAACUUCAGGUAACCCAAGAGCUCAAACAACCCAAAAAGACUAAUCUGUUGCAGCAAAACAAGAGCAUAAAGUUCCAAUCUUUUCUAUGGCAACUCUCGGACCUUCCCAAGAUGGUUCUAAUACCUAACCUAGACUUGACCCAAACAGAUCUUAACUCACUCAAACACCACUGGUGAGAACUUGAGACCAUGGAGAGAAUAAAAAUUCAACCAGCUUUCGAUCACACAGAACAACAAGAUAACCUGAAUGCCUGCUACAUUUUUACCCAAAAUUUCCAGCAAAACACACCAAAACAGGAAUAAGGAAACUGCUGGCUUUUAUCUCUACGAUCCUAAUAAGAAGAUUCGAAGCACAGUUUGAUAACAACUACAUUUAUGACGUCUCAGUUAAGUAGCAUACAGAACAGAAUAUCAAACAAGCCACCAUGAAAACAGAAGAUCAUUAUCAGUUAUCAAGUAUCGGCAGAACUUAAGCAAGAGGAACAUCGUGCAUAAAAGGGUCCAGAUUAUAUCAAACCCAGAUGGAGAAGAGCCCAUGGUUACCUGAGGGUGUUUAGGCUGCUGAAUGAACAAAAGAGACCUCAAGGGAUCGAUCCUUUCUAUAAACCAAACCCAAAAUGAACCGCGGAGGAUUCCAGCGCCGAUGCCGCUAGUCGAAGAGUUCUUCUUUCUCCUCUUUCUGGUUCUCUGAUUCAGCCGCCCUACUUUUCCUCAAACCCUUUUCUCCCUAACUCCACUGCCCCGAAACUUUCUUUUUCGUUUCUCUCCCCUGUCGCUCUCUCUCGCUUAGUUUCCUCCGCCGCUGUCCACUCUAUUCUCUCAACCCCCAGCCGUCACUCCUCUCUCUGGCUUCUUUCUUCAGCCGUCGAAAACCUCUCUCUAGUUUCUUUCUUCAGCCACCAAAACCUCUCCUUUUCAGAUUUUUCUUUCAGCCCGUCACCUCUAUUUCUCUCACGUUGUCCUCCUUCUUGGCCGCAGCUAUUCCUUUUAUAGGAACCCAUAACCCCUAAACCCUCACCUCAAAGGUGAGGAUGAAUGGUUGGUUUCUACCAAAAACUUCAGCCAUCCGAUCCAUUGGGAGCCAAGAAAGAACCAGAAAAAUCUCCCGGGAAAAUGAUAUUAUUUUUCAUGCUGCUACAUGUGCGGCGGCUUUUUUUUUUUUUUGAAAUAAUAAUUUAAUAAAAAUGAAAAAAAAUAUUAAGUAAAGAAAAACAACAAUUUAAAUACAAUCGGAUAAAAAUGAACGAAACUAGGAAUAAAAGACAACAAAGCUAAGAUUUUUUUUUUUGAGUAAAUAAUAUUAAACUCAAAUCUAAAAGAAAUAAAGCAUAUUUUUUGUGAAUGAUUUUUUUUUUUGUUAAAUUCUAUGCUAAAAUGACUUAAAAAAUAAAAAUAAAAAAACUAAAAGUAAAUAAAACUAACAUAGAAAAAUAAAAAUAAUAGUAAACAAAAAUACCCUAAAAAUUUGGUGUCUACAAGUAGCAGAUUACUAAUAUGGGCAUCUAAGUGAGGGAAGUGUUUACUAUUUUGGAGGUUAUAAGGAGAAGUUCGGCGGAGUGUGUAAUGCAUUGAAGUGGCUCUAAUAUGAGCAUUGUAUCCUUUUAACAAUGAUUACUCAGUGAAGUGUUUCCUUAUUUGUUUAAUUUUGCUACUUGUUUAAGUGUUUAAUUGAUUGUUGCUUGUGUGGAACCUCACUGGGUUUUGCUCAACCCAUUAGUUUGUUUUCCUUACAGGAGUGAAGGACGGGUUUGGAGAUUAGCCAGAAAUUUAAGACCGACACUUGAAUUGUGCCUGAAUAAAUUCUUUUGUAUAUAAUGUUAUGAUUUUGCCAACUUUGUUAUCUCUAAGAGUUGUACAUAUUAAAUAUUGUAGGUUAAGACAAUUUUUCUUUUGUUUUGGUGUGUAUCUAAGUAUGAUGAACUACUAAUGGUUUUAGUUAGUGAAACGUUAUCUCUGAAGUUAAUGUGAUUAAGUGAGUGAGUCCUGGCGAGAGUCAGACAGGCGGUCCGCUUAAUCCUUUGGUUUGCCUUAGAGUGUAGUGGGGUUGUCACACAAUGAAUAUAGUUUAGGAGCAUUCUUGAAAUUAACUUCAACUACAAAUUUCGCUAGUAAAUUCUUCUAGAUUGUACCUAGACCAAAAACAUAUAGCACAAAAUAGCAGUGCUACAAGAAAGAAUGCUCAUUCUUUUACUUUGAUACCCAUAGAAUGAAGUACAUGAUAGUAAUUUCUUAUUGUCAACAAAAACAUUGUUAAAUAACUUAUUCAUUUUUUACAAAAUUUUGUACCUUGAUAAAUCUAACACCAAAACAUAGAUGUUAGUCGCUUAACAUCAAACCUGAUUUUUGACAAACAAAGAGUUAAACAAUUUAAUAAAAACAAUUAAAAAUAAUGUAAUCUAUAGCGGGAUGUACAAUUUUUGGACCAAUUCUUAGGAAUUAUAACUCACAUACCAAAAAGCAAGAACACUUUUCUAUAUAGUAAAUUAUUACUGACAAAUUUAUAAACAACAACAAGAACAAAACUAUUCUAAAAAUCAACCAAUCAAAACAAACCAAAUUAAACAAGAGAAAAACAAAGCAUACCUCCUCAAUUACCUACAGUCAAAAAAGGAAAAGAAGCAUAAUAAGCAACAAAAUGCUUAACAAUAAUUGUACCUUAAAGCACAAGAAAUCGAAGAAGAACAAUUCCAAUCACAUUGUAGCUAUGAUUUCUAAUAUUAAAGCAUAGGAAACUAAAGAAGAAGAAUGCGAAUCAUUUUGUAGUUAUGAUUGUGAUGGGCAAGAAAUAAUUAAAUCUUUUUAUGGACAUUAAAGUUGUCUUAAUUUCAUACUUAUAUUACAUAUUUGUACAAUUUACAUAACUUGAUCAUCACAUGACAAAGGAUAUCAUAGUCAAAUCGUUCUACAAAGCGCAUCAUAGGUCUGUAUAGUUAACUCAAAUUCUACUUUGAUUCUUUCUAAAUGGGUUAUAAUCACUUUACUCCUUUAACAUUCAGUGCCACUAUCAAUUUCCCCCUUAACAUUAGAUUUUAGUCACUUUACCCUCAAAACUAACGAUCAAACUUAACAAAGUUUGUUAAUUAAAGUAGUUUAGCCCUUAAAGUUAUUAUCAUUUUACCCCCAUAAACUAUAGUCUCAAUAUCAAUUUACCCCAUAGAGUUUUUUUUUAAGCCAACUUAGCAAGUUAAAAAAUUUUAGAAGAAAGUACCCUCCUUUUUGUAUAAUAAAAAUAAUAAAAAUUUAGAGUGGCUUUUCUCCUCUUUAGUAUAAAAAAAAAGGUCAAAAUAUUAAUCUCUUUCUUCUUGGCAAUCUUAUUAAUAUUAAAAAAAUAGAAAGAUAGGGAGAGUGGGAGGGAGAGAUAGAGAGAGAGAGCUCAAUUUUUUUAAAAAAAAUAUACAAAUAAGAAAGAAUUAAAUACUUUUAUUAUUUUAAAAUUAUUUCACUUUACUAUUUACCACCAAAUUUCAAUGCUAAUCCCAACAACCUUAAAUUAAUACGAUAAUGUUAGACUUUUCAUUAUUUUUUUUUUGCAAAAUCUAAUUUUUUGUCUUUUUCUUUCCUAUCUCCUUUUCUUUUUCUAGUUUUAAUAAGUGUGAAAAAGGAAAUUUGAGAAAACCUUUUUAUUUUUAUAUUUUUUGAUCUCUUAGAGUGAAAAAAAGAAGAAUAAUCAUUCUAACUUUUUAUUUUUAAUUAUAUAUAUAAAAGGGUAAAUAUAUUUAAAAAUUUUUUACCAUACUAGUUAGAUUAACGAUGUAGUAAAAUGCCUAAAAAAUAAUGUUAGAAAUUAAAUCAGUUAUAUCAUUAUAGUUAAAAGAAAUAAAGUGAUAAUAACAAUAUAGUAAUGCUAUAUAAGAAAAGGGUAUUUUUGUUCAAAAUUUCUUAAGUUAAGUUGAAUUACUUAUGGGGAUGAAGUGACUAAAAGAUAACGUUAGGAAGUAAACUGAUAGUAGUGAUAUAGUUUAAGGGGAUAAAGUGAUAAUAACCCUUUCUAAAUUAUCCCUAAAUAUAACAACUUAUCCUUAAAAGCCAUCAUCACAGGUUUGUACAGUUAAUUCAACCACUCGUAUUCCACUUUAAUUGUUUCUAGAUUAUACCUAAACAUAACAACUCCUUAUCCUUAAAAGUCAUGGAAGAAUAGAUGAUGGAUGAAAAUUAUUCAAAGCCAUAGAAGAAGAGAUGAAAUCCUUACAUGAGAGGCACGCUUAUGACUUGCUGAAACUGUCAAGGGUAAGAAAGCACUAAAUAAGUUAAGGCCCCUUGCCAAUUCCCAGAUUUGGAAAAUUUUCAUUCUCUUUCUUUUCAUGCUUCAAAGCUUCAUUGUAGGAUACUAACUCUGUUUCAUCUAUUAGUAGCAUAUACUCAUUAGGCUUAUAUGUACUAGAGGGUCUUCUCUAGUUAUCAACAGAGCACACUCAUUAUAAUUAUAUACUCAUUAGGAUGCAUAUGCCUAUUUUUGUUAAUGUAUUUGGAUAGAAUAUAAAAUUGAAAUGUUAUUGGAAAUAACUAUUUUUUUGUUAUGCGAUACAUGUGAGAUUAAAAAAGUAAUUGAAAAAAUAAAAAAAAUAACUGACAAAAGUGCAAUGUCAAAAACACACGUAUUUUGGGUUUGUUUGUUUGAAAAGUAUUUGUUUGGGUGUAAGGCAAUAUUUUAAAAAUCGGACCGGACAGUCGGUUCGACCGGUUGAACCACGAAUUGGCCAUGGCACCGUCCGAUUCUAUGUUACAGUUGACUUUGUCAGAAAACCGGUCAAACCCGUCAGAACCGCUGAACCAAAUUGAACGGUGGUUUCAUGUUUUUUAACUUUCCUCUUAAUUUUUUUUAAGUUUUGCAAAAUGCAGCUACCAAGGAUUGAACUUAGGACCUUUGUAAUGAAAGACCAAUUUAAUAACCAUUGUACUAUUACAUCCUAUGAGUUUUUUUAUGAUAACUCAUUGAAAUAAACAAACAUCUAUCUUUCUUUUUUUCGUUUUCUCUAAUAACUCUUUCUUUCUAAUAUUCAAUUCUCUCUCUCCUCUUUUCUUUUGUCAUUAUUUUUUUAAUCAAACAUCUUUAGUUUUUAAUCAAACCUCUUUAGUUUUCAAUUCUCUUUAGUCUUUUAAUUUUAUUUUUAUCCAUUAAAUUAAAAAAAUUAAAAAAGAAUUAUUUUUCUUAAACCCUAAAGACUAAUUAUUAAAUACCAAAACCAUUCACUUUUAUCUCAUUUUUUGUUUCUUAUCAAGUUUGCAUUUCUAUUUUUGAUUCUCUUGACUUUCUUUAAACUCCAAACUUCUUUUUUCUUUAAUUACAAUUUCUAAAUUCCAAAAACGUAAAUUAAAAUUCAAACUCACAAUAUCUAAAUUCCCAUAGACGUGAAUUUUGUAUAAUUUCAAAAUAUUGUUGUAUAUUUUGGAUUGAAUUUAAGAUUAUUUUUUGGUAAAUAUAUUAAGAUUAAGAUGAAAUUUAUUUGUUUCAACUUAUAAUUUAAAAUUUUUAUUUUUGAAAAUCCAAGUUAUUCGAAAAUAUUAAACUUUUUAUCAUAUAAAGUUUUAAAUAAGUCUAUUGCACGUCUUAUUUUGUACAUAUAUAUAUUUAUAUAAAUUAUUUUUUAAAAAAUCAUUGAAUCAGAAUUGAACUGAUCUGACCGGUUCAAGCUUAAUCUGAACAUUUCAUCGAUUCAAUUAACGGUCCGAGUUUUAAAACAUUGGUGCAAGGUUACAAAGGUAUUUUUUUGAAUUUAUAUAAAAUUUUACUUUAAAUUGUAUAAUUUUUAAAAAAAUUUUGUGCAAAAUUUGUAGAAAAUUUUUUGUGUAUUGUGUAUUUCAAGCUUCAGGUAAAUUAAAAAAACUUUUUUCGAUUUCUUUUUCUUUUCCUUCCUUACUGCUAUGGAGUUUCCGGUUGCGGUGCCAUUGUUCCAUCGACCAAAAUUCAUCAAAAUUAUACUGUCCACUUGUUUUGCAUAGAUUUGGUGUUCGGUGUUAGUUUUCAUAGAAAAUGAAUAAAUUGUGGUAAAAAAAGAAAGAAUAGCAAGGAGGGGGAGAGGGAGGAAGAGAAAAAAAAAUGGAGGGUAAAAGGAGUAGUGGGGAAAGGGGGAAAGGAGGAGCUGGGGGCAGAAGAAAGGAGAGGAAGAGGAGGAGAGGGGAAGAGAUACAAAAUAGAAAAAAAGAGGUGGGUAAGGUGGCGGCGGUGAUGUGUGGAGGCAGCAAUGAUAAUCGGGGUAGAAGGGAGGGAUACGGGGCAGGAGCGGUCGUCAGGCCGACCGCUCCUGAACGGUCCUCUCACAAUGGUAGACAAAAGGACCACAACGAGCCACGUCGAACAGUUUUGGGAAGCAGCAAAAACGACAGUGUUUCAAUUAGUAAUGGAAAAAAGAAAAUGAAGCUACUAACGGAGCCCGUCACAAAGCGUCAACUCCAGUCAACAAAAUCCCGCGCAAACAAAGCGUCAAACACAAAUGCAUCGUCAAACACAAAAGUCUUUUGGUUUCCCUCCACACUGACUAUUGCCAAAUUUCAGUCACACAGAACACUAGAAAACGGAAGCAAAAAGAGAAAAUAAGAAAGUGGCUGGAGGCAGAACAAGCAAGUGGCUACAGGCAAGAAAGUGGCUGGGGCAAACUAGGGAAAGGGGAAAGUAGGGAAAAAUACAUUUGUGACGAAGGAGCAAUCCAACAUGCAGAGUUGUCACGGUUUGAAAUCUGGAAGGGCUUGGCAAAAGUGAAUCAAAAGUGUAAAGUGGAACGUUGGGGCAUCUGGAGAAGAGAAAAAGUAGGAAACACCCAGGUAACAAAACAGCAAUGUUAUGACAUCACUUUCAAAACUUAACAAGGUGGUGAAGUGAUGUGAGUAGUUGUUAUUUUUGAACAACGUCAUAAAUGAAUAGGUUAAUUGAUCUUUAAUGAUUUUGAUAGAACAGAAUGUUUAUUGGUACUAAAUAGUAUAAGGUAUGUAAUUUGGUGGCCAACACUGAGAAGGACAGGUGCAGAAAACUUAGUACGCCAAGUGCUUGCAAAAUCGUGUGAAUGGAAUGUGGAAUUGCUUGGGUAAUAAUAUAAUAGUUGUACUAGUUAUUGCUUUGAACUUAUUGCAGAUUUUGUUGACUAGCAAUGGUUGUGGGCGGAUUAUAAGUUGUUUGUUUAUGGUUUGUACAUCCUAUUGAUGGUGACAUACAAAGCGAAAAAAAAGUGUUACAGAAAUAGUUUCCUUAAGUAUAUAUCAGAGUGUUGUAUAAGGAGACAUUUGAUAUGAAUAAAUAGUGACGCAGAGUAAAAUUGUUAAGCUACGUGAAUGCAUAUAACACUAAGAUUGAUAGAUGCAUUGUGGGCAAAAAGGUUACAAGUUGUUUUAACCAGGCAUGUUGGACAGCAGGUUGGAUAACUGUUACAUGCAGUGAUUCAGAAGUUACAGUAGCAGAACUAUUGUGUAAAAUUGCAUGAACAUAUUGUGAACUUUCUAGCUAUUGUUUGUUAGUUAACUCAUAUUUGUAUAAUCAUAGGAUAAAGAGAAGAAGUCGAUUGUUUGGAACUUGAUAGGUAGGGCAGUUGACGACAAGCUGAACAAGGUUCGAAAAAUGAUUUACAUAGUGUUCAGUUUGACAUACUGAGUGUGGAAAAAAGAUUACAAGUUUUGCUCCGCUAGUGUGACUGAACAUGAAGUUGGAUAAGUGUAACACGCAGUGACUUAGCAAUUACAAUAUAAGAACUGCUCUGUAAAAUAGUAUAUUACAUAAUUGUUCAAUUGGUAACUCACAAUUGAUACAUAACUCAUAUGUGUACAGUAAGACAAGAAAUAGAAGAAGAAGUCGAUUGCGUAAAAAAUGAUAAAUGAGUGAGAGUAGAUCAUAAGUGGAAUUUGCCCCGUAGAAUAAUGAACUCACUGUUAAUUUUGGCAAACAUAGUGUGGAAGGAAAGUUACAAGUUUUUAAAAGUAUUGUUACUAAGAUUUGAGAGUGAUGUAUUAUAUAUGUUAUUACUUUGUAAUGCAUUCAGAAUAAUUUGGGAAGCAUAAUAGAACUGAAGUGCAGUUGUAUAACUCUUAGUUCAGAUGGCAGGAGAAAAAUCGAGAACUUCAAGUGGCCAAGGUGAUAGAGAUGAACCAGCAAGAGAGUUUGGUGGCAAAGAACCCGAGACUUCAUCUAAAUCACUUAAUAUGUAAGUGGCUAAUAUUUGUGUCUCACAAUUUGUAUAGCACUCAAAAAGUGAAGUUGGUGAUAAUUUAUCGGCAUAUUACAGUGGGAAGAAGGCAGGAAAAAAAUGACCACAAACACAAUUGAAGAUGAGCAAAUGGAGGUAGCAGGAACAAGUGAGAUUGCGGAAUCACUUCCACCGUUGAAUCCAUGGAUGAAGUUCAGGUCAGAUUGUAGGUAAUAGAAAAUAGCAAUCAUUAUUUAUCAGCAGUAUUAAAUUUGUUUCACUGGACUUUGUGGGCAGGAAAGAGUAUCAAUGUAAGGUUUCGGCAAAAGAAGUGAAGAUGACAGAGGUAUGCAUAUCCAUCAUAAUAAAGAAAGCAAUCAAUCUACUAUUUAGAAAGAAGUACAUGGAAUAUAAGUGAGGACACAAGAAGUAGAUGAGUUUAACGUGGGUGAUAUUACAGUGCAGUAUAAUAAUAUUGCCCGAGUAGCAUACAAUGAGUUAAGUAAGGAAGACAUGAUGAAGCGAAAAGAGGAGCACCUAAAAGAGAAAAAAGCAUAUGAGAAAGAAAUGGCACGUCUUGGAAAGUCGACGGUGCAAAAAACACGGGUUACAGCUAAGGUAAACAGAAUUUUGUAAACUGUCAAGCACUUGAUGAAAAGCACCACCUAGCUAAUGCAUAUAUGUACAACUUGGUUGUAGAAUCAGAAGUACACCAUACGCUGCUUGCCAAAUCAAAUGGUCACAUUUGUUUCAAGGAUCGAUGAAACAAAGAAGCAGCAGAUUAGAGAGAUCGGUUUUGGAGGGCUACUAGACAUACAGUGCCAUUCCAUUCCAAGUGGUAUAGCAACGUGGCUAGUGGAUAACUUUAAUCCGACACUAAGCAGCUUGCAUCUACAUGGAGACGGUGUGCUGCCUUUAACAGGAAGAGAUAUAGGUUUAGUAUUGAGCAUCCCAAAUGAAGAGCCUGUACCAGUUGAAGAUGCUGAUGCUAGCGAGGUGGGGGGAUCUGGGCCAAGACGUAGAACGUACAAAUGGAAAGAGCUACCAAAUGAGUUGGUGUCCAUGAGGCCUGGGGAAGAAUUCAAACGGCUGUUUGUUGCAUUUGCUUGUGGAUGCCUUUUGACUCCAAGCACUAGGGCUGAGCACAAAAUAAAGUUUUGGAGUUGCACACAAGAAGUUGAUAAGCUAGCCACUUUGAAUUAGGCAGAAUAUGUUAGGAACGUGCUAUGCAAUAAGGUUUUGGAGGUGCAAAAGAAAAGUAAAAAGCAGCACCAAUACGUUGGGGGAUGCAUUUUUGUGCUAUUGGUAAUAAUAUUUAUCCUUUGCAAGCUGCAUUGAAAACGGCUUUAAUGAAUAUGGCAUGUAUGAAUACUCCACACCACUUUGUGAGGUACCAAUGUCUGCAUAAUACUUAUAUGACAUGUGAAUAUGAUAAUUGGAGUACCGUGUGUCAGAAUGAAAUAAUUAACAAUAAGGCAUACAAUAAUUUAGUCAAACAAAAUGACAUUAAAAUUUUUCGCUGCAUAUAUAUUGCAGAUUCAUUAUCUUGAUCGAAUGUCAAUACUAAAACAUAAGUGUUGAGGACUAUUCCAAUAGCAAAGGCAUGGACAGAUGGUCUGAUUUCGAAGAGGGAUGCAUUGGAGAUUGAUAAUCUUGGCAGCUAUGGAAAAGGAAAGCUGGUAAGACUAGUAUUAUUAACAAUACGUUCCGAAUAAACUUGUAAUAAUUUGGAUUCCAAUUCAUAUACAUUUCGAGGGUCGCUCAUAUAUAUUUUAUCGUAGAUUGGACCACAUGAAUUGGUGGAGGCCGAAGUUGACUCGUCGAUGACUGAACUCCCCCCUGAUGUGGUUGGGGCGAUGAUGGACAGCGCCUAUGCCGAUGUAUGCGUAAGUGACCUCAAUAUUUAGUAAUGAUAAAUGUAUGCAAACGUAUUGUACACCAAUAGGGAUCUAAUUUGACAAAGCAUGCAUAUAUCCUAUAAAUAUGGAAUGUACACGCAUUCAUACCAUUAAUAUCUUAUGAAAAAAGAAUGCAUGUUGGUUGUGAAAUGUAACUCGUGUCCUAUGUUGGAUUGUGUAAAAGAGAUCUAUAGAAUUCAUUUUUGAAAUGUUGCGGGCUGAGCUGUCAGAACUGUAUAAAAUUGCUGUUUCGAGCCAACGGAGGAUAUUGAAGCUUGCUGAAAUAAUUUCUUCGCAUCAGCAGGGAAAAACAACAUGCGAUCUGGUCAAAUCAUUACAUACGUGGGGAAAAAUAAGGACCAGAAGGUGGCAAUGCACCGGGAUAACGAUUGCGAAGAAGGAUCUGAAUAUGAAUCUGUAGAAGAAGGACAUGAUGGUGAAGAGAAUGAAAAAGAUGAUGAAAAAGAUGCGGGUGCCAAAGAUCAUAAUGAAAAUCUUCAGACUAGCGAUGGUGAAGGAGGUGGUAGAGCAACAGAUGAUGCUAUAAAUGCGAGUGGACAGAGUGAGGGAGAGGACCACAGAAAUGGCAAAGGUACAGUGACAAAUAACAAUGGGCAAACGGAUGAAGGUCCUUGCCCAUCUUCGGGCACUGUGAUACCAAUGAGGACAGUCACAAGUGUUGAAAGUAAACGACCAGCUGAAGUAAACAAUGAUUUCUUGGAGAUGAACAAGGAGCUGCAUGUGAACAUAGAAGAUCAACAACAACAGGAGUUGCAUAAUAGUCACAGCCGUGAAUGUGGUGAAGAUAAUUGUCUAGAGGAACAACCGUCACAUCCCAGUCAGCAUGAAAAUCCCGCAUUUGAUGCAAACACUCCGAGAAGGCUGCGUUCAUAUGGUCGAAAUCGACAAGGUUCGUUAAAUAUUUUUGUCUAUAUUUUCAUGGUUAAUAAAUAAAUGUACGAUACAGAAUAGUUUUAGAGAGUAUUUUAAGAACUUACUUGCAUUCAGGCUAUAUUAGAUAUAUAAUCUAAUGAACAGUUACAAAGUGUUCAUUGGUUAUUACAAAUACGUUGAUCUCAAGUUACAUGCACAACACCCAUUUUUACAGUCUCCAGUUAUAACACAAGCUCUGAAAUCCUUAAUCCUUGUCUUCGAUUGUGUCAGGGAAGGAGGUUGAGCAAAGGCCUACUCGGGCAAUGAAGAAGAGCACGAUGUUAAGGUCGGUCGAGUAUAUCCUGCCGGCAUAUGUGACAGUUAGCUUAUAUGAGAAAAGGGUUGCUGCUUACGCAUGGGACCCAAACAAGAAUCCCAAGUAAGUUUCUCACCAAGGCUUUAGUCCGAUAUCAGCAUUUUCCAUCAUUUUAUUAAGCUGUACAGAGUUGCUUAUUGUACCAACUAAUUAUUGUAAGAUUUUGUGUAAUGCAAUUGUAGGGACAUAUUUGUUCAAAUGUUCCAGUUCUCCCUAAUACGCGUUGAUUUGAAGGCACUUGGCAAUGGCAUGCAUGUCUCGAAUCGGGUUAGGAAUUUAAAUUUGAUGGCCAUGAUUAGCUUACUUUUUCAAGCUGCCUUGUGACCAAUAAUACAGUACCUCUAUAUUAUUUAUUUGCUAAUGUUUAAUUGAAAAACAUCGAUUGACGAUCAGGUCAUUGACAUGUUUGCCCGCCUGCUAAAUUGGGGUGGGAAAGGUGUCGUAAAAAAUAAGGUGGAACGUUACAUCGUUGAACCCAUAGCAGUUGUGAGUUUUUAAAUUACUCUUGCCAUGUAUCGACCAAUUUAUUUUUUAACCCAAGAUUUGAAAUUUGCUUCGACGUGAACAUAAAUGGAUCAGUAAUGGAACUGAAAUCCCCAAACCUAUGUCACCUUGAUGCUCGUAGGAAAGCAUUCUGAAAAUGCUAAAAUUUGAAUCACUUUCAAAUAUCAGCCUAUCUGCCAAGCUGACGAAGUUGUUCAAGAUACGGAAUCGUGAAGCGGGAGCAGAUCCAGGCAACUGCCACUUGGUAUUUUGUUACUAUUGGUAGAGAUGCUUUUUACUUUAAUUUAAAAAAUAAGUCCUAAAUUAAUAAUAUACUUUUGGUAUGCCUAGGUAAUAAAUUGCACUUGUGUUUCAGAUAUUGGCUCCUGUUUGCAAUGGGGAGUAUUGGUUUGUUUACUCCUUUGAUGUCUCACAUGGAGUAGUUCACCUUCUAGACCCCAACAUUGAUCAACCAAAAAGCAAAGAUCUGGAUGUUCUAAAUCGGCUGGUACGUUGAAUGAAGUUCAAUAAUUAUUGUAAGUCUUUUUUCAAUUCGAUAUAUGAGUUUGUGCUUUGUUUUAUUAACUUGUGUGUUUUGCAGAAGCAUGGGUUGGGGUUGGUUAUUGCGACCAAAUUUGGCAAGGAAAUUGACUUUGCAAGUUUUUCCUUAGAAGUUGUCGAUGUGCCGGAUCAGUUGCGAGAUAGAGUGUAAAUUAAUUUAUGUUCCGUUAUCAAGCAUAUUCAUUACCUUGGUUCACUUUUUUUUACUUCAUUUUGCACUGAUGACUAACUUUGUCAUGUUGUCCUCAGCUACGACAGUGGUAUUUUCACAAUGGUAUUCCUGGACCAUUGGACUGGGCAGUUGCCUGUGCACAUCGAUAAGGUAUUGCUAACUUUCUGGCAUGAUUGAAUUGUAUUAUGAAAAAAAUAUUGUUAGACUUCACAUGUUAUCGUCUAACAUGCUAUUGUAUUGGAUGGUUUGACUGAGCUAGACAAAUAUUGGCAAGUAUCGAGUACUAUACACGGCUCGGUUGUGCACGUCAGAGCAAAAUUCAAAAUUGGCGGAUAUCAUAGCAUCCUCGGAAAUUCCAAAAAAAAAAAAUAGUUGAAGUAUCUCUUGGGUCCUAAAGUUGAGACUAUUUUGUAAAAUGUUAUAAAGAAACACUGAUAUUUUGUUUCGGAACACUUAAUCAGCAAUUUUUUUUAAAGGCUUAAUGCAAGCCACAUUAGAAUCUGUACCAUAUUUUAGUUAAGAUGUAAUUAGUUAUUUAUGCUGUAUAUCAAUUGUCUCGGUUGUGGUUCAUUGCAAUUUUUCUAUUAUCAUCUUUUCUAUGAGUUAACCUUAAUGUGAGAGAACCGCUCAUCAGGGUUGAAUUGCAAAUUUAAUUGGUUCAUCCUCAUGGAUUUUGAUAACAAACGGCGAUUGCCUAAAAAAUAAAUCUGACCCUUAGAAAAAACUUUAGUUACUUUUUGGCCAGACUACUCUUUUAAUGCGAAUGAGUAGUAAAACGAAGUUGCAUGAAAAUUUGACCUUUUUAUGAUGAGCACUUUACCCCAAACAUUGAUGACAAUUACAUAAUGUUGACGGACUGUUACACAUUGACUAGUUACUCCGCUCAAGAUUUGCCAUUAGAUUUUCAUCGCAUACUCUGUUAAUAGGAAAAAUAGAAGUGUUUACAUAAAAUUUGAGUACGAUAGUACUUUUAGUUCCAAUUCAUAUCCUCUUUUAUUGACAUUAGACCAAAUCUCAAACUCUAGUGGACAUAAACAAUUUGCAGUUUAAAUACUAAAGCAGAUCAACCACCCAAAUUUUUAUUUUUACAAAACCUACAGUAACCAUUCUCCAAAGCACAUGAUAAAAAAUUAUUGUUAAGUUCCUUUGACAAUAACAGUAGCAAUUUUUUCUGUAACUGGUUACUAACUCCACGUAACACUAUUCGAAUAUAUGGUACUGCCGCUUUAACGUUUUGUACGUAAAUACUGCUGCAACUUUCACUCCAUGGUUGCUAGUUUAUAUUUGAGAGGUUCCGCGAAUUAACUACCACCUGGCCUUUUUCAUCCCGAUCAACACACAACCAUUAUUUCAUUCUCUCACCCCAUAUUCACUAAUCUAAUCAUAUGCCCCAAAGGAACUUAAUAAUGUUGGUGGCGGAUUUAGUGAGUUAAGGUACCAAUAUCGGUACUGUAGUUGUGGAAGAAAGGCAGCUCUGAAGAUCGUCGAGUCACAAAAACCAACGAAGGGGUUGCUGUACUUCGUCUGCGAAGGAAAAACUUGUGCUUUUUUCGCUUGGUGUCAUCCAAUAGAGAGGAAUCAUGAGCAAGUUCAGACUACCUAUUGCCCUCCCUCACCUAAACGACAAGCAAUAGGCAGAGAAAGUUCCUUUGACAGUCUCGGAAUAGUGAUCCAUGAAUCAAACUCUUUCCCGUAUCAUGUGCAUUGAAUCGAACAAGACAUUUGACAAAUGAAAAUCUUCAUGAUGAUAUCGGUAGCGGUCGCCGUUUUGUUGCUUGUAAUAACAAUUUUUCGCUGACACUACUUUCAAUUUUUCGACUCAUAUGAUACGAACUUCGCCUGUAGUUUGUCGGAGAUGUAUUUUGUAUGGGCAAAGUAGCUGACGUCUAACUACUAUUGACUUUCCAUUUCAACUAUUGUGUUUAUUGAGCACUACGAGAUUACGAGGUGGUUACAUUAAGACACGAAAUUCAUAUUGACGAACUUAAUACACGAGUUUGUUUAUUGAGUUAGUCACAAAUCGUGCAUUCUUACUUACAGUUUUGUUUGUUCUUAUUUACAACAAUAACAAUGUUAGGUCAUCCAACAAAUAGAAGAAGGUAAAGUACAAACAGUGCAAUAUAGCAUUACUGUGUAAGGUAUUAGUGAAACUUAUGGUCAAUAAUGUCUAACUCUGCGAUGAUAAAAGCUGCGAAAACAUAUGUUGAAAUCUGUAAACGACUAGUAACAGCACGUAACACGUAUAUUCAGUCUCGGUACUAUAAAUCGCAUGCUUUGUACGUAUCGAAACUUAUCCGACAUGGUUCAGGCAUUGCAUGUGGGUCUAAAGUCUCAUCUCCUGACUUUUACUAGUUGGCGUCAUCUGCGUUUGGGGAGGUCUCACAAUUUUAAUGAGAUGUUCGAGACGACCUCGCUACAUCAAAUGUUUUGGGGAUUGAAACGAUCAUCAUAAAAAUUCUCAAUAGACACUUAAUAAAGUGUCUAUUGAAGCUUUAAUGUGUCAAUGGGAGGAAUUAUCAUUUGUGCUAAGGGCAAUAGCACAAAGAAGAGAAGAGAAAAGGUUCAUCGAAUAUUAACUAGUUCUAUUAUCACUAGUUGUAACAUCAGAAAUAUCCAGUUGGAAUAUUAUAAUAUUUUAAAUAGAGCAGACGAAAAGCUGCUGAUUGCAAAUUCAUAAGUUAUCAUGAAUUGUAACAUACACCUAACUGGUUGUAACGCAAUCUGUACAUAGUGAAACGUACAGGUCACUGAUGUGUAGCUCUUUAUCCACGUGACGCUUUAUAUAUUUGUACAUGUCAUUUCAUGACAAAAGCUGCAUAAUUUGUUUUAUUGUCUUAAUAGGAUUUGACACAGUUCAAUGGCAUGCAUGUGCCUCUACAGUUUCCACUGCCAUGACAAUGAAUGUUUGGUAUGGAAUGCGUUGUCCAGCGAUAUUUUAGCACAUUGUGAGGGUCCUGCAGACUAUAAAAGGGCGCGAUUGCAGUAGUAUAUCCCUUAACAACAAAAAUUUUUCCGUCCACCUUCCAUUGCUGCACAAACAUUUUUCAUUUUAAAUAACUUCACAAUUCCCAUUUCAUUCUACUGAGGGUUGGCAAUGAACCCGUGCUUGAAAUUCAUUAUUAGUAUUCUUCAACCCUCCUCUAACUUCAAUUGCAGUGUCAUCAAUAGAGGAUUCACACAGAAAUUAAGUUCUUCGAUGCCAAAUAGCAGCCAGUACGUUGCAUGAUGUUCGAGAAGAUCUCGCUAAUUUAAUAAGAUGUUCAAGAAGGCCUCGCUACAUCAAUUGUUUUGGGGUUCGAAUCGACCAUCUCUAUGUUCUCGUUAGACACUUACUAAAGUAUCAUUAAAAUAUUAAUUGUUGGGGGGAGGACUUAUUGUUUGUGCCAAGUGCAAUAGCACAAACAAGAGAAGAGGAAAGGUUCAUCGGAUAUUAACUAGUUCUAUUAUCAGUAGUUAUAAUAUCGAGAAAUUUUUAGUUAUAAUAUCACUAAUUUUAACUAGAUAAGACAAAAAACUACCGAUUGCAAAUUCAUUAAUUAUAAUGAAUUGUAACAUUUAAGUAACUGGUUGUAACUCAACAUGUACAUGGAGUAAUCAAAAUUUGUUGCAUUUUAAAUAUUAGUUACCCUAUUUUCAAAUUAGUUGUCUCAACGUAGUAUCAUGUUCUUCUGUGAAACUGUUACUUAUUAUGUGGUUAUGUGGAACUAAGCCGAGCCUCCAAUUGUAACUUCAUGGCGUACUGGUGGAGUAUUGCGUAUUGAAGUACCUCUAAUACUAUCUGUAAUACUCAUCGUUAUUACAAUUGUAAACAAAUUGUCUAAGUUUUAACAUACACCCAAACAAGGUAACAGCACGUAACACGUAUAUUCAGUUUCGGUAAACGACUAGCAACAAUACGUAACACGUAUAUUCAGUCUCGAUGAUCGAAGGAUGAAAUUAGAGGUAUUUUGUCGCUGGCAUGGCCUCCGCGUCCCGAGAACAAGGUCAGCGGAUCUUGUUAUAGGACCACAAGCCAAUGAUGCAAGCGUAUUACAUUGACUACAGCGAGAAGUUAUGCAGAUGGAGCGUAGGCUUCACAGAUUCCACGAGAUCCAGGCCGUAAAAAGACAUGGUAUUAGAAAACAAUUUGAUGUUCAGCACAUUUUAGCAGAUCCCAUGCUUAUAUCCGACCCGGACCUAUCUGACUUUACUGAAUCAAGCGACGAUGACUUUUAAAGGUACAUACCUCAUUGUCUAAUGUAUGACGGCGUUCCCAGGUGUUGUAUGGGAUACAACUGAUAACAAGGGAUGUAGUUCAAUGUUCGUCAGGGUAGCAAUAAAACUAUACUCAUUAUAAUCUCUAUUCAAACAAAUUGCUUACCACAUUUGGAUAUUAAUGAUGCCUGUUAAACAGUCGUAACUAGUUGUAACGCAACAGUAACAUAUCCCAAACUGGUUGUAACCCAUUGUGUAUUGUUCGUUCUUCCUUUUCGUUGCAUUGUAAAACUUCAUUUUAAUGUUACAAAUUAGUUCUCCAAGGAAUCAUUUUCUUAUGCGCACCUAUUACCAGCAUGUGGUCGUGACCUGGCUUGAUCAUAAUUCAAUUAACCUAAAAACUUAUAAUACCAAUUGAUGUGCCUGUGAUACAUCAUGUCAAUGGUGCGCUAAUUUCGUCAAGCGAUGCAAAACAAAUGACCUAAAUGAUAAUGUUUUUAUAAAAAUAUCCCAAUAAUAAUUCAAAUUUAGCAUCGUAAUAAAAUCAAGACAAUUUAUACUUUAGAUUGUGUUAUCUUAUAUAUCAUACCUUUGGCGAUGCGAUCUAUGCCAAUAAAUAUGUUAUUAAGGUAUGCAAUUGAAUAUAGUACAAUGGUAUACAUAUCACGACAGCCAUUCAACUGUUAUUGUCGAUUUAGUGAAAAAUAUCCAAUCACAAAAAAGACGUUCAAUUCUAUUGUAAAAUUGUUAUUUCAAUUUUUUACCAACUUUAUAAUUUACUAACAAUUUUAUACAACCCAAUACAAACUAUUAAUGACUACUAACACUAGAUGCGAUUACAAUUGUAAUCCACUUAUUUAAAUUUGAAAAGAGUGAAACAUCAAUGGUGCCUGUACAACCUCAUCAAUAAGUUGUAACAGCAUAUUAACUGCUUGUAACGUAUAUAUGCAGCAUUCCCAGGUUGGGACAACCACUUAAUGUCUCGUUCAAAAAGUAUAGUUACACAUAAUUCACCAACCUUAUUCUCAGGGGAGGUGACGUCAACGCGUAGUUGCAAUCUCUGGGUGUUAUAUCUUCCCUGAAAUGCGUAACGAUGGCAAAUCAGCAAAUAUUAUUAAUGAAACAUACGAUUAAUGAUAUACGAUGCCCAAGCCUCCAAUUAACAACAUUACAUAAAUAUGUGCUGUAACGAUAAAAGUUUGUCACCUGGGGUGAUGGUGCAAAUACAUGAUAUGUAUCAAUAUCACAGUGUGUUGAAAUUGCCGCACGCUCCUCCUACAUUACAUAGUAUAAGUAACCGACUGUCAACAAAUUAUUACCAAUGCCUAUAUUGCUCACUUAUAAAAUUAAAUUGGACUAGAUAUUAUAACAAAAAUGAUAUAUCAGACCAUUAAGACAUCUCUGACGGAGUUAUGCUUGAAAAAAAUAAAAAAUAUGGGAUGCAUCCAUUCUGUAGGGACACUUGCAGGAGGCCCCUGAUUAGCCAAACGGUGGACCUUCGAAUAAUAAAAAUUAAUAUGUUAUUAAAGCGAGCAUACGUUAACUACAUAAUAUUACAUGAUUUGACAGCGUUCGGGUGCCCGCCAUUAUAAUUAAAGAAAAAAAGGUAGCUCUACUACACAAACAAGAAGGUUUUUAUUUUAACUACUAAAUGUAUGCAUACCGUUUCACUUUCAUCGAUAUCGGAAGCAACAGCGUUUGAAGGGCCAUUCACUGUCUGGCUCAUUGAAUGCGUCUACGAGUUUCGUAUGAGCCAAAUUAUUGUAUAAGACAAACAAAAUAGAUAUAUCAGGAGAGAUGACGGCCGUAACAACAUUAUCACACAAUGUAACAUUAAUGUAACUACUUAUGCUGUUAGAAACAUCCAAAUAAAAGCAAGAGUUAUGUCCAUUUUAUACUAACCGAAACAGAGUCAAUAGAUGAAUGGCAUCCCAUAAAUAUGUAUUCCUCAAAUGCAACCGAUGUCAGCAACGAUUUUGAGACCUACAGUAUUGAUACGGCAAUAAUAUUAUUUCAUAAUGAAUGGUACCUAAACUUUAGUUAAUAGUAUAACGAUAACUUAGUUUAAGCAUAAAUGUUCUCCCAGUACCAAAAUUUGAUCCAUACCGUAGUCUGUGUAGUUCUUGAUAAUCUAGAUUUUCUUUUUACUUUGUCAAAUUUAUCGACCUAACUUCGCAUCACUCUACUUUUCUUCCCACUCCCUCAUUUUUUAAUGCCUUUUGCGACUACUGCCUCCCCCAUUUCAUUACAAUUUCAAUUUUAUCUCGUUCCUCCAUAUUCAGAUUUUUUUGAUUUUGCAAAGGUUGCUCUUCGCUUUUUGAGAGAAGGAGCUCAACACUUUUUGCCAAAUCGAAUAUGACAGUGAUUGCUACUUUGCUGGUGUCUUCCGACAUUACUGCUCGAAUUGCGACCUUAAUCAUGGCUGGAGCGAGCUCCCGAUAACGAGUUGAAAUCAUUCCUUUAGGGUUAGCCACAACUUCCCGUCCUUGCUGAUCAAAACAGUCUCUAUCCCGAGCUCUUUUAGUCCAUCGCCUCUUAAUGUAUUCAGGAGGAAUUAUUUGUAUGCCCACGGUAUCAAACACCUUCAACGCGUGCCCACAUAAAAUGCCUCAUUCUCGUAUUUUUUGCAACUACAAUGUAUACUUAGAUCAUUCCGAUUGAAUACCACUAUUCUUUCAGGUCCUCCAUCAUACCUCAUGACCGCAAACUCCACAAACAUCGCUACAUCUUUUUGUCUCAAUAUAACCAUAACUGUUGACUCGACAUAUUCAUUUUGGGAUGUAACAAAUACGGUUGGUGAAUACGUCUCUGAUGCAUGCACAAGCAUAGGUGUUUACCUUAACCCUACCAUAGGGAGCUUUUGCCUCAUUUCAUAUUCUGCGAUCAGUUCAUUAUGUCUCUUUUCAUCAACCACCGGAUUGAAAUGUCUAAAGAACUGCACAAGAUCAUGAUCCAGUUUCAAAUGAUUUUUAAUUGCUGCAUUUAGGCUUUCGCUAAGUUGGGUGCUUCGCAUUCCCGAGGUCCAUCUUUCUUUCAUCAUGCACCUUGCCCAUUUAUCACGAAUUCGAUACAACCCGGAGAGCCAUUUAUUAUUUUUAAGAUUGUGUUUCUUCACCAUCGCCUCCCACACCCUAUUGAAUUGUUCCAUUUCUUCAAACUCAUACAUGCAGGCACCAAACAUGUAUGGAAGAUCACUAUUUUCCUUAUAGUGAUUGCCAAGAUGUUUCAUAAAAUUACGCCUUAUGUGAAACGUAUAUAGACCGUGAAAUGUUUCAAACAUGACAACUGAAAAAGCGGCUGCCAUGGUGUGAUCUUGGUCGGUUAGUAUGGUACUUGGAUGCUUUCCGCACAUUGCUUCUAGAAAUGUACCAAACACCCAUUUGAAAGAAUCUAUAGUCUCAUCAUAUAUAAGGGCAGCACCGAAUAUCACAAUUUGCCUAUGUUGGUUAAAACCCACAAACACUCCAAGUGACCGGUAUUCUUUAUUUGUUUUGUACGUUGUGUCGAAUGUGACUACAUCCCCAAAAAAGUUGUAGUCAAUUAACAUUCCUGCAUCAACCCAAAAGAUAUUCGUUAUCUGCUCUUCACAGUCUAGCUGUACGGCAUGAAAAAAUGAUGGAUCCUCGAGUGUUUGCUCUUGAAAAUAAUUCAACAUGCUACCUGUUUCUCCAUAUUUCAAACUCCUUUUCCGUCGAGUACGAAGAUAUCGUUUCAAGUUUUCUCGAGUAUAUCCCACAUUUUCCAUCCCACCUGCCUCCUUUCCCAUAAGCUCGUGGUUCUGUUUCAAUAAAAACCCAGCAUCCACGCUUAUUUCAGUUUGGAAUUCUUGAGCCUCACUCACUUUUCUUUGUAAUGAUAUCAUGCAACCCAUGGUUAUGUUCUAAGACAAGGUCAUGCACACGGUACUUCAUUGUCCCUCUAAAUAACACGAUAACCAUUUUAGCUCCACACCCCAUUUUCGUCGGCGCUCGAGUUUUCUUUGGCAUCACAUCACAUUCGUACUUGCAUUUUACACCUUCCUUGCCGCAACUAUAUCUCCUAGACGUGGUCACACCGUUUUUGUCUUUAUUUAGAUAGUUUUUGCGUACAUUAAAACCCAUUUUAAAGGCAUAUUUGUUGUAAAACUUGUAUGCAUUCUCUUUACUAUUGAACUCCAUUCCUAAUUCAGGGGUCCCAUCUUCUGCCAAUUCGCUACAAUUCAUUACUUCUGCUCCUACCAAUUAUGCAUCAAACACCAUAAUUUGCAACAGUUCAUGAAUAGUAUGUACAUAAACGACAACAUAAGUAUAUAUUACCAUUCAUAAUGUGUUAUGUUACACCCAUUACUCGUGUACCGAAUCCUAUUAUUACUCCCAUCAAUAUGAUUAAUGUUGUACAAAUACUCGUAUAUCAAAUCCUAUUAUACUCUAAGACAACGACAUUAUAUAUGUACAAAUACAAUUCUGUGUACAAUAAGUUAUACGUACUGUAAUGCGUUGGUCACAUGAUGUAAGUGUAUUUUAACUGUAUGUACAUCCACUCUGGUGAUUAUAUUUAGGUUCUAGGUACUUUGUUUCACUGGACCUUAUGUCAUUCGUCAAUGACAACCGCCGAAGCCAACUCUGCAUUUUCUACUGUUUCUAUAUUUUGAGGACCAAACAAGUAUUCUCUACUCAUAGUAAUAUAUUUAUUACAUCAUGUAAUUUACUUACAACACCAGAUACACCCAUUUAUUAUUCACAUAGGUCGGUCUUUUCCUCUGCUUCACCUCAUUCAACUCUGCACCUCCAUUUUAUACACACCGCAUGGUCAGAAGAGAGGGGCAAACUAAGAUUGUGUCAUGGGCAUGGACCAACUAUUGGACGCACAAUGAUUCACGUCAAUUGUAAUACAGUGCCUAUAACCUGUAACUAAUUUACAACAGAAUGUACAUUCAUUCACUUGUUAAAUAUGAUUUUGUUUCUCUCAUCUUUCCUUAAUUUCUUUUGACGGUUUACUUGAAUACAUAUCCCUAGGUCUUCCAAUAACUACUAUCCCAUUAUAGUUCAUCACUGAAAAGCUGAAUGCUCACAAACAUAUAGAUACGGUACAACUUUACUUUUCUUCUAUCAUAUUCAUAUCUAAUUUCAUCCUUCAUUUAACAGAUGUGCAUUUGGGUGACAAAUGAUUGGCUACAGUUAGUUACAUGGUUCAGUCACGUUACCUUAGUCUGCUAAUACGCUCUACGUUUCACCAAACUCAGAGAGCGCAGCUGCUUCUGCUAUUAAGUUGAAGGACAAGAAUUUCCUCUGUUUGCUUCAACCUUGCCGCCUACCUUGUAAGCGUUUAAAAUGGAUACAACAUUUGUUGACCCAGUAGCCGAAGUCUCUUCUCAGUUUCUCGGUAAGUUUCUUGAACGGAAACUGAGAAAAGGGACUAGGUUUUCUGAGAAAAGAAAACUAAGAUACGAGUUUCUGUCAACACCCUACCUUCAGACGGAGCACGCCAAGACUCUUCCCUCAAUUUUGUUUUCUGCGGGUCAUUCAAAAUUUCAACUUGCUUUCAAAUUUUGAACUCUACCGUUUGCUCCGUCUGAUUCCAUUUGGAAUCAGAAAUUUUUUUAUUUCGAACGGCGUCGUUUUUACCCUUUCUUAAGCUUUCCUGACGUGGAUCAUUUUUCUCCUCAUGUUUUUGCUUGUGAGAGGACCGUUCAAGAGCGGUCGUCCUGCCCCGUAUCCAGAAAGGAGACAUGAAUGUAUGUUUUUGGCUGUUUUGAACUGUGCAUUUUGAAAAUUUUAAAGUAUUUUUAGAGUUUAAUCACGGUUUGAGAAAUCUAGUAAAAAUAAGCAAAAAAAAAAAAUUCCCAAACUGACCAAUCUGUGUCCGAUGUAAAACCAUUGCGGCCCAUAUAGACCGAUAACCAAUGGCUGCGAGUAGACUCCAUAGAAUUUAACCCGACCCGUUUUGGCUUCUGCCGACCUUUUGCCUUCUUUCCUCCCACGUAUAAAAACAGUGGCCGUUUGUCUUUCAGUCACGAAAAUUCAAAAUCUGCUACCAAAGUAAUAAGAGGGUGCCGAUUCAAUCUGGAAUUUGGUCGAAUACAGGGCGUUUCUUCAUCAAUUUCCUUCCUGGUAUGUGAAAUAUAACUUCUCUCCAUCUCUUUCUUUCUUUUUUUAUUUGUGUUUCUGUUGAAGAUUGGAACUGCCCAUUUCUUUAUUUGCAAUUUUGGAGCUGUGUCUAAAUUAAGGAUUGCGGAACUUCAUUCGUAUUAUGCCUACAUGAUUUGUGGGUUUUUCUCGUUUGUCGUUGUUUUAGUUGAUUGCUUUAUUUAUUCUGCAAAUAGUGUUCAUUCUUUUAUGCAUAUUAAAACACCGGAUUUUUUGUUCCAAUUGGAGUUGGGCGCCUUCUGUUUUGUCUGCUGGAAACAUUAAUCGUCAAUUAUUUUCUGUUAUGGAGCUGAUUGUAAAGGCGUCGAUUGUAGUAAUAUGCCCACUGGGCCUAAUAGUAGCCAGUAUACUGUUUCUUUUUCUUUUUUUUUUUGAAGUGCAAUUUGUGACAAAUUUCUUAGCAAAGGAAGCUAGCUACUUAUUCAUGUGUGAUCCAGAUGUGUAAUGUGUCUAAUGCGGCAAUUGAAUCAGUUAUCUUUUAAAUGAAUAUGUCCGUGAGUCAAAUCCAUGAUGACUUUAAGUAGACUGAAAAAUAGUUGAAAUAGAAAGAUUAAAAAAAAAAAAAUCUGAAGAGUUCAUCUAUUACAAGCUUCUUGAGCUUAUUGGGUGGAACUAAAUGAAAGAAUGUAAUCCUUCCAUUUUUUUCCUUGGUAUGUCCAGAAAUUAACGAGGCUGUUAAGAUCCCAUGUGAAGGCCAUUUGUAAACUGGAGUGAAAAUGACAUUUGAAAUGAAUUCAGUUUAAGCUCUUGGAGUUCUUGUUAUUCUGUAGUUCAUGUUGAAGAAUUCAAAGAAGGAAACUAGAGCAAUUGGAAUUCUUCUUUCUUCUAUACUUGGUUAAAUUCGGAGAAAUUAUUGACUGGUUCAACACAUAAUUUUCAUGUGUAAUACUAGUUAAUGCAGAAUGCUGGGUCAAAAUCCCGGUGUUGACUAUACAUAGCUUCAAAUGCUUAUCGGUUUUCAAAGCAUAUGCCUUCGGUCUUACAUAUCUGUCAUAAAUUGUAUUAUAUGGAGACUAAACAUCUAGAGUUAGGAAAGAAGGCUGUAGUUUUAUUUACUGCUGGACUUUUCCAUUGGACUCUGAAAAUUUUUGCACUUACUGCAGGUUCUUUUAUGGAAAGUUUUUUGAGGACUGGGUGGGGUUGGUUGUGGGUUAAGUGACUGAGACACCCCUAUUUCUUGAGACAAAACAUCUAGAGUUACAAAGAAGGCUGUACUUUAUUCUCUGCUGGGACUUUUCCAUUUGAAUCAGAAACUUUCUGCAGGUUAUACUAAAAGUUUUUUGAGGGACUGGUUGGGAUUAGUGGUUAGUUAUGUAACCGAGACAUGCCUUUUUUGUGGGUAAGGAUAAACAAAUAGGUGCAGCUUAACAUAAUGAAAUAGAUUGGGCAUAUUUAAGUUAGGAUCAAUUUUGUUGCUGGAAUGAGUUAGUUUAUUAAGAUUUGUUUGCACCAUUUUGUAUAGGAUUUAAGUCCUCCAUAUACGAAGGUGGUUGGUAAGGUAAUAACGGUACAGGUGAAAGGAAUGGUGAGAACCAAGCUGCAAACUUAUGAUGAAGAAAAAUGAUAUCACUGAGCUAAAACUUAUUCUCUUGGUUACUACGCAAUUGCCUAGUGAAAGGUUAGUUGUAAAGGACAUCUCUGAAUGCGAAAAUCUCACUUAGUCACCUCAUUUUUCACCUCCAGCUACCUUCUCUCCCAUGGCCUCCAAUUGCAUCAUAGUCCAAGCUCGAUUUUGUUAGUACUCCAUUAUCUGCUCUCCUUUUCCUUGGUUCUCCACUUUAGACUCGCUCUCAUACUGGAAUCAUGCACUAGAAUUUCCACCAUACACAAGUUUUGCCUUGUUGCCAGUUAAGCCAUCUUCAGUCUCAUUAUCAGAUGAUGUUUCAGUAUGUCUCUUCUGAGUUUUGAGAAUCCCAUCAACUUCCAAGAUGAAAUUAUCAGCACACCCUGGCUAUAGCAGUAAGGUUUUUGAGGCACAUCGAAAACCAGAAAACUGAGGAAGCAAACUGUGAGUCAAAUUAUUUCACCACUGUGGAGGCAUUUGUAGUUCCAGUUUGUCACAACUGUGAUCCAUUUGUUGCUAUAUAUAGUUAACUAUUGAAACUUAAGAGGAGAUUUGGGUUCCUGGUUUCGCAGAUGAAGGUGUUUUGGCAGUCUAUUGAUGCCAAUAUCUAGUUGUGGAAUUAGUUGAAUUAAACAGCUAUAUGUUUCCUUUCACUUUCACAUUCUUAAUUCAACCAGAAAAGGAAAUACUGAUGAAAACUUCACUUCUUUUUCCCAAGUCUCAAGAAAAAGGCCCUUACGAAAUAAUCUGAUAAAUUUUGUGGGGAAGCAGAUCAGAAACAGACAUAACAUACAAAUGAUUUUCUGAAGAACUUUAAUGCUUCAUAUACAUCUUAAAAACAUGUUUACAAGGUUUUCUGCUUGGUAAACAUUAACCAUCACUAGCUGCAGCUAGUUCAGGACCCUAUUUUACUAGCCUGAUGGACCAUAUCUUUAUCCUAAGCAGCACAAUCAUUCCCUUCAUUAUGAGCUUGUAGACUUUCUUGUGGAAUAACUCGAUUUUCUCGGGCAUCAGGGGAUGAUGAAAUACUUAUUAAGACUAGUCUGUGAUAUUGAUGCAAUUUGUAACAUGUAAUACGGGCUAGAUCAACCGAUCAUGCAACUAUGUGAAAUUUUUCAAGAAUUAUCAACUCUGUCUUUCUAGCUCCAGGAUUGCUGUUUAUCCUUUAGCCUUUCUCUUUCCAUUUGCACAUACUUUCUCCUUCCAUUUGCACAUACUUUCUCCUUCAUCGUUCUUGUCUGUGUACUUCUUUUCUUCUUAAGCAAUGUAAGAAAGAUGUUAUUCAGGUAGGUGUCUGAUUAGGUAAUUGGUCAGGCUGUAGAUUAUCAAUGCAAUGAUCAGUAACUGACCCAAGGGGAUGAUCAGGUUUGUGACUCUGACACUGAUCAAUCUCCAUACUGAGGUAGCAAUGGCAAAUUUUGAAGUGUACAAUUGGGUCGUGAUGGUGAGACUAAAUUGGUCCUGGUUACUCUCUGAGAAGAAUUGGAAGAAGGGAGGUGAUUAUCAGAUUUGUUGCAUUAGUUGCCUCACUGUAUAAUGUUAUGCAACCAGUAGGUUGUAUUGAUGCAUAUUUUGGACCAGUAGUUCAGUGAUGGUAAUGGGUUCACUGACUUUUUUUGUGGCUGUCAGAAAUGAUACGUGUUCUGGUUGAGUUUUGAUUGUUUUCUUUGGAUAGAUUGACCAUUCAUAAAAAUAUCUCUCUACGAGAAAUUUUAUUGUCCAAUUGUGAUUUGACUAUUGAUGGUAGCAGUCCUGAUGCUCUCAGAACAAUUUUAUUACCCAUUUAAGAUAAGACCAUCGAUGCUUAACAUGCCUGAUGCUGUAAUGUUACCCCUGAUCAUUAAUAGGUCUGCUUGUGGAUUGAUUGGCUGGAGCUCCUGAUUCUAAAUUUUGCAGUUUGUAGCCAAUGCACUGUACGGAAACGCAAGAAACCACGGGGGACACUAAUAAUUGCGUUUUGGCAUUGGCUGCAAAUAACAGUGCCACGAAUAAUCUGCUAGAAAGAAGGCCCUGGGAGAAAUUGCAGGCUGAAACUAAAUUGAUAGACAGCUCUGCUACUCCUUUAUGUGAUAGAAUUGGUGUAGACAGAGGCCAGUGUCCAAAACCUGCUGCUAAAGUGAAUUCAGGGCAGGGAAAGAAAAAGAGGGACAAGCAUACCACAAGGCACCCUAAUGCUGUAAACCUUGAUCACCGGGUGGACAAUAUGACCAAUAAUUCUGGGAUCCUAAGCAAUGUUUCUGCAUGUGCUAUGGACAAUAUCAGUUCUGGUCGAGUUUCAGAGUUGAUACCCAAUGAAGGAAGAAGUAAACAGAAAAGGAGGUACACUAUGGAGACUGAUGAGAAGACUGUGCAAUCAGAAAUUUCUAAUCUCAUGACUGGCAGUCCUGUUGAUGAAGAUGUAUUUCCCGUAUCAGUUAAGUCUAUCCCAACAGAAGAUUCAGAAAUGAAGAACAAUGUUGCAGGUUAUUGUUUAUCUGGGGGGAGGAAAGAAGCAACUGAGGAAUGUAAGAAGCAUAUCCUUUCUGAGAGUGCUGAUAUUUCUGUGAAAGUUGAAGCUAGAAGUUGUAGAGCUACCUUGAAAUCAGAAAAGUGUCUUCAUCCUCUUAAUUCAGAUGGGAUACCCGUCUCUGCGGGCAAGAUUAAGGUUGAGAGCAGUUUGCUGGAGAGUCAUGAUGAUGAUGAGGGGGUUACUAAUGAUUCAUCAGAAAUGAAGUUUCAGAAAACCUGCCAAAGAACUUGUCAAAUAAGAGAAGUAGUCAAGACUUAUUCCAGGAAAAGGAAAAAAGUCUAUGAUUACCCUGUGGUUGACUCAAAGUCCUUCCAGGAGGAUACUGGCUCUUUAGCAGAAGAGAACAUGAAAAAAUCUUUUUCAGAUCAUGCAGUUCAAAUGUAUUCAGGUGGCUGUAGCAAGGAUUUGAAUGAAAAGAAGUUGGUUGAAGGAGUUUUGGAAGAUCUUCUACUGGACAAAGUUGAUGAUGGCUAUACAGAUGUUGAAAGCCUAGGGAUGGAGAACGAGAGACGUAUGGACAUAGAUAAUUGUAAGAGAAAAACAACUGAAGGUUGUCUGAAUAAGGAUGUGCCUUUAGUACACAGUGCUGAACAACAUUUUGAGCAGUGUGAGAGGGUAAAGCCUGAUCACGUCAUGGGUACGCAGGGUGAUUCAAGAAUAUCACAUGUGGCUAAAGAAAUUGAUGACGAAUCUGGAAAGAUAGUCUCCGAUGAAUAUGUGGAUAAAC